rnacentral:lncRNA from 1 species
UAACUGAUGCGCCUUGAAUUUCAUCUGUUCGUCCUUUGUGCAUGUACGUAGUACUCCACUACAAGUAAAUAAAUGAGUCGUGUGGUUUGAUCGUCAGGCAUGCAGUUCAUCCUGACUAAUAAUAUUUGCUAUCACUAGCAAAUAAAAAUGUGAUUACUCUUCUAGAAUGUUGUAAUGGAUGAUUUGUUUCUGUCCUCUGCCCGUCUGCGUCCAGUCCAUUGGUUGAUUUCGAGAGCACGCUUUUUUUCUUUGAAAAUGAGGAUGACCCCCGGCCUGUGCAUCACGGCGAUGCAUGCAACCAUUUUAUUAAUUAUUUAUAAAGACCUUACAAAGUAAUACAUCAAUAAAUGUGAAGUCAUUGUCUUGGCAAUAUAUGUCGCCACUCCUAUCCACUUGGUGAAGGGGUGCAGAUUGUCAGGGCGUAUACCCAUACCUCACUCCAAAGCCUAACAUCUAAAACCGAAGGCCCCAACCAAGCCGAAUUGUCGGGCCUGGGUUACACGCCGGUCCGGCGCACUCUCAUCAUGCACCGCAUGCGCAUGCUGCAGAGGCCGUCGCCACCGUCUUCCACCGAUCCAUCUUCAGAGCAGGUACUGACGCAUUGACCUUGCUAGGCAUGCCGUUGAAACCACCACGACGCAAGACGACGCCACCUCCCUAUGCGCGUCCAUCAUCCCACAUCCGUCACCGAGACCCUACUGCACCAUGCCGUUGAGACUCCACAUCGUCGACGCGUCACCUGAAACGCCACUCUACCGCAGAAACCUUCCCCUGUUCCCUCGAGACAAUGCACACCUCCAAGAAUGACAGUCCCAGGGGUGGGGGGGCACAAGAGCGUCGUCGCCAUCCAAUCGGCUGAUUUAGGGUUCCCCCAGAGGUAGAGGAUAGAAGUAUGGUGCUUCUCCAUGGCAGUGCCUUCCAAAAGUGGACGCCACAGAAGAGUGUUGCCAUCGCCGGCCUUGGCAACUAGCCAAGAGCAAGGUUUUCACCCAGAUCUUCUCGACGGACUUCCAUCUAGCAAUGUGUGCAUGGGCCGCCACAGACCUUUGUCGCCGCGCAACAUGCAUGGCGCACCGGCAAGAUCAGAUCUGACCGGAGGACAGACCAUGCAUGCCGCCGACCUAUCCACCAGGGCCUCCACACCGUCGCCGCUGACCGCAUCCAUCGCUGCCACUUGAGACAGGGUCUGCCGCCGACCGCAUCCAUCACUGUCGCCUGAGAAAGGGUCUGCCGUCGACUGUAGCCAUCGUCGCCAAGGCCCAAUCGGUCGCGCCUCCUCACGUUGAGGGGCCCCACACCACCCCUAUGACGUGGGAGAGAGGGAGUCCCCCGCCAGCACGUCGGUGACUCAUUCUAGCGGCAGCAGUGGUCGUUUGGCCGUAUCGAAUCUCGAUGUAAUUUUUAUUAUGUUUAAGAUGCUUAAUACUUUCGUUGAAAUUUCAUAAUAGAUCUGAUCUUUUUAGGAAAAGGUAGCCAUUGCACCGUCUUUUUUUUGCGAAAUGGAUAUUAAGUUUUGAGUACUCUUAAGUUUCACAUGCCCUUACAAACACAAACAUACAGAAAAAUAAAAUUAUAUUACAAAUUCUUGGGUCGUGCCUAAGUCUUCUUCUUUAUGCAUCCACUGGUGACGUACCAUGAGCAUAGCCUGAUGGAGCCUCUGGGCCUCCGUCUUGACGGAGCAAACUUUUGUAGACCCAGGAGCUUGUAGACGCAGCGGCCGGAAGUCGUAGAUGCAGACCAUGAGACAUAGACUACAGCGAUCUGCGAAGCAAGUCACCACCCCAUAGAAGAAAACGCUGAUAAGGGCCCCUAAAAACUCUAAAGACCACGAACGCUGGCCGAAUCAAGAUGAAUCCACCAAAAACCUAUACCGACCAGAUGCAAUAAGACCCAUCGAAUGCACGACUCCACAUGCCCUCAACAUGUGAUAAACAUACCAAUGGAGGAGAAAGAGAGCGAGCAGAACAUGUGAUAAGCAUACCGAUGUGAUAAGCAUGACGAGCACCAUCCGAUGAAGACUGCCACUCGAGCACACCAUCUCCUUCGUCCAUCCCAUCGCAACCCUCCAACACCUCCAAAAGUAGGCCGCCCCCUGAUAAGGACCUCCCCGCCGCUAUCAGUGUCGCACGGGCUUUGCUCGGUACGUGCCCUGGUGGCAACGAGAGGUGAAGUAGAUGCGAUGGCGCCCAUGGUUCGAAUAGCCCGUGACGGUGUCCCGGCUAUGGGUCUCUCACCACGUCGUCUCCCGGCCUGGUGGGCCGGGCCGAGGACCAGGCGGCCCGUGAUGCAUAACACGGAAGGCUCUCAAAGACUUGUCGUGUACUCCAAGGUGUAGAAUUCGUCGGAGACUCAGUUUCCUCAUAUGUAGCCAACUAAGGUGUUGUAACCCUAAACCCUCCUGGUAUCUAUAUAAACCAAGGGAUAAGGCUCGUAGAGGAGACAUAACAAUCUCAGGGUAGAUCAUCUGUACUUUGUACUCCAUCAAACGAAAAUAAACACAAAAAUGAUGUAGGAUUUUAUCUCUUCGGAGAGUCUAAACCUCGGUAAAAUCUUGUAUCCUUAUUACCAUUGUAUCUAGACACGUAGUUCCGGACCCCCUACCGAGAUCUGUCGCAUUUAGCUCCAUCAGCCUGCAUCAAGCGGGAGUUUACUAUUAUGUGACUGCUUUGCACCCUUUCAUUUCAAUGUCGUGUUUGAUAUUUUGGGAGUCACAACACGCCAUUUGUUUCUGUCUCGUUUCGUUUGCGCUGAUCUUUCAGCUUGUGUUCCCCUCUCAUUCUUUUUUGUUCGCAAGAAAAGAGAAAAGGAAAAAAGAGAAAAGAAUCUACAAAAGUGUUUCCUAAUCCCAAGCUCAAAUGCUCCUCUAUGAGAAGUAAAAUAUUUUGUUAUUGACAAAAAAACAUUGCUUAGAUUCUUUUUGCGUGCAAAUUUUCGUGGGGAAAUCACAUUUAUGGAGGUCUAGGAUUUUUUUUAACAAAAUCAAUACUUGAAAUGCUUUCAAAAAUAAUCUUUUGAAGCGUCGAUUUUGGUUUUUUCACCCAGAGUAUAAGGAAUGUUUUUUCUUCACAAAGAGUUGCGAGUAUGUUUUUUUUAGGAGUCAUAAAUAACUUUAUUCAUCAUCAAAAACCACAUUAUGUGGGAUACAUAAAGCGUCAUGGGGUUGUAGAAGCCACACAUGGCGCCCCCGAGCUAAUCUAACAGAGAAUUUUGCUAAACUAUGAGCAUCCGUAUUGGAUAAACGACCUUCAUGAGUGAUUCUACAAUUGAAACUUUCAGCCCUAGCUUUGAUUUCAGUAAUAAUGGAACCAUAUGUGCCUCUGCUGCUCCUGUUUAUAUCCUCUACCACUUGCUUUCCAUCUGAAGCGAUGAUAAAGUUUUGAAGUGCAAGGUCGUCCGCCAACGCAAAAGCUUCGCGACAAGCUAUCGCCUCGAGGGUGGCUGCAUCAUGAAUGUUGUCUAUCACCAGGGCUGAACUGCCCAGGUAGUUACCCUGAUCAUCGCGGCAGACCGCAGCGGCGGAGCCCCUUCUGUUAAAUCUGUGGAUUCCUGCGUCCACGUGAAUCUUUGCAAACCCCGGCGGAGGUGCCCUGGGCCGUCUGUUCGCAACAGCAGCUUGUCUGAGCCGUCCCCCUGAAGGGAUAUUCGGCUUAGUAUCCAUAGUCUCAAGCUCCGCCAUGAAACGGGUGAUGAAUGCGUGAGUGGCCUGCGGGCUCUGAAAAAUUCCUUCGUGUAUCGCCUUUCUUCUCGCAGUCCAUAUUGCCCAUAGUGUGACAGCCAGGGUCAGGAAAGCUUCAUGCGAUAAUACGUGCAUCAUUGAGAAAAGCCAUGCUUUUGCAGCCGGUUCGCUGGUCGCCCUCAACUGACACUAGUAGAAAAGGGGGCUUUUGUCCUGGUUGGUAAGGGCCUUUAGUCCCGGUUUUUGAACCGGGACUAAAGGGUCGUUACUAAUGCCUCCCCCCUUUAGUCCCGGUUCUUACACGAACCGGGACUAAAGGCCGUCCACGUGGACGCAGACUGGAGCUCCACCUUUAGUCCCGGUUGGUGUUACCAACCGGGACUAAAGAAAAUUUUAUGAUUUUUUUUUGAAAAAAAAUUGCGAAUUUUUUUUAAUUUUUUUUUUGAUUUUCUCAUUUCUGAAUUAUUUUAACCUCUAAUCUCUAAUCACCACCCCUCAUCACUGCUCAAUUUAUCCUCUAAUCUCUAAUCACCCCUCAUCAUUCCAAAUCAUCUAACUUCCCGGACGGUCACCCAUCCUCUCACUACUCCAGCCUGAGCACGCUUAACUUCUGGGUUCUAUUCUCCCUCGUUUCCAAGUCUGCACAUGUUGUUUUCCUGACAAUAUUAAGAUGUCAAUCCUAUUAACCCUCAGGAAUUUAGCUUGAGCAUGAAGUGACACAUUUCACUGUUUGAGUUUGAAACUAUUGUUUUAAAAAACAAUAAUUAUUUAGUAACACUAAUAUUUCUGGAAUAAUUAGUUUGACCACAGUUUGACCAGAUUUGACCACAAUUUGACCAGAUUUGACCAAAAUUCAAAACAACUGAAAUAAUUAUUUAGUAACACUAAUAUUCUAGAAUAAUUAGUUUGACCAUUGUUUGACCACAGUUUGACCACAAUUUGAAAAUUUUUGAAUUUUUUUGCCUCUCCAGAUCUUAAAAGCCCCGUAUCUUUUUUUCUGUUAGGUUUUUGAGGAUUUUGAAAAUGUUUAAGAAAGUUCCCUCGUUAAAUUCGGAUGUAACUUUUCGAGUAGAUGAUUUUUCAUAUAAAAAACUUUUUCAUCCGAGUUCGUAUGCAAAAGUUAUGCCCAUUUUAAGAAAUUCCAGAGAGAUUUUGCAAAUAAAGUCGAAAUUCAUAUUUGUUAAUUUCCCCAACAACUAGACCACAUAUCACAUGGGAAACUUAUUUUAUUUUAUUUUUUGACACUUCCAUCAUUUUCUUUUGUUUUUUCUAAAACUGAAAAGGCGGUCCAACGGGGGGGCACAUGGGAAACUUAUUUUAUUUUAUUUUUUUGACACUUCCAUCAUUUUCUUUUGUUUUNNNNNNNNNNNNNNNNNNNNNNNNNNNNNNNNNNNNNNNNNNNNNNNNNNNNNNNNNNNNNNNNNNNNNNNNNNNNNNNNNNNNNNNNNNNNNNNNNNNNNNNNNNNNNNNNNNNNNNNNNNNNNNNNNNNNNNNNNNNNNNNNNNNNNNNNNNNNNNNNNNNNNNNNNNNNNNNNNNNNNNNNNNNNNNNNNNNNNNNNNNNNNNNNNNNNNNNNNNNNNNNNNNNNNNNNNNNNNNNNNNNNNNNNNNNNNNNNNNNNNNNNNNNNNNNNNNNNNNNNNNNNNNNNNNNNNNNNNNNNNNNNNNNNNNNNNNNNNNNNNNNNNNNNNNNNNNNNNNNNNNCCACCAACCGGGACUAAUGGGCAUCGCACCCUUUAGUCCCGGUUCGUGGCACCAACCGGGACUAAAGGGCCCAGGUGAACUGGGACUAAUGCCUUAGCCGCACGAACCGGGAUAAAUGCUCACAUUAGUCCCGGUUCGUGACUGAACCGGGACUAAUGUGAAAACUGCCCUGUGACCAAAGCCCUGUUUUCUACUAGUGUGAUCCGCUAGCUCUCCAUCAACUUGGGCCCAAAUACAUCGCGCCAUUGUACAAUCCAGAAGGGAAUGUUUCCAUGAGUCUGGAGAGCCACAAAGUCCGCAUGAACUGGUUUCUGACAUGUUUCGAUGUUCUCUGACGUCCUCGGUCGGCAGCGAGUGUCUCGCAAGUCUCCAUAGGAACAUCCUUAUUUUAGCUGGUACACGGACAUGCCAUAGGUAUUUCCAUGAUUUCUUCUCUUGCAUUACGUUGGAUGACCCUGCCGUUCCUUCUAGCCAUGCCCCUCGUCUUUGCUUGGUGUUGACGAGCAUCUUAUAAGCUAAACGGACUGAAAAGAGCCCCUUUUUCUCAAAAUUCCAGGCCCAAAAGUCUGACACCACUCUGGUGCAUAGGGGAAUGCUAGUUACUGAUGGAAUGUCAAUCGGCAGCAUGACCUGGCGGAUACGGUGCAAGUCCCAUGUGGUUGUUGUGUGAUCAAUCAAUUCUGCUACAAACUGUGGAGGGUUGUGUACCAAACACCCAUAUGGUUUCAUCAUCUCAUCCCUUGGCAACCAGUUGUCGCUCCAAAUCUUAGUGGUUGAGCCAUCUCCAAUUCUUCUUAUCAAGCCAUGUUUGAGAAUAUCCCAUCCUUCCACGAUCGCCCUCCAUAUCUGGCUCGGGUGCCCACGGAGCUCUGCCUCCAAAAUUGUGGUCAAGGGAAAAUAAACACUCUUGAGAACUCUUGAACUUAGAGAAUCUGGGUUCUGCAAGAUACGCCACGCUUGCCUGGCAAGCAAAGCGAGAUUAAACAGCUCAAAAUCCUUAAACCCCAGACCUCCCAUGUCCUUUGGCUGUGUCAUAUCCUUCCAAGAUACCCAGGCCGGUUUCCUCUUGCCAUCUUUGCUGCUCCAUCAAAAUUUCCGUAUCAACAUAUUUAGGUGCUCACAUAAGCCCCUUGGUAGUUUAAAACACGACAUAGAAUAGACAGGAACUGCUUGAGCUACUGAUUUGACUAGCACCUCUUUUCCUGCUGUUGACAAGGUUUUCUCUAUCCAGCUCUGCACUUUGUUCCAUAAGCGGUCUUUUAGAUACUUGAAAGCACCGUUUUUUGAUGAUCCCACAUCUGAUGGCAUCCCCAGGUUCUCGCUUAGGGUUUCGUUAGGAACAUUGAGCAAAUCUUUUAUUUCAGUUCUUACCAAGUCAGGAACUCCUUUACUGAAAAAGAUAGACGACUUAUCAUAGUUGAUCCUCUGGCCUGUUGCCUGACAAUAGAUUUCCAACAACUGGUGCACCUCCAAUGCUCCCGCUCCAUUUGCUCUGAAAACAGCAGGCUGUCAUCUGCAAAAAGUAAGUGGUUAACCGGUGGCGCCGAUGGAGCCACUUGUAGACCACGGGUGUUUGAUGACUCUUCUCUGGAUUUUAUAAGGCACGAGAGGCCCUCUGCUGCUAACAAAAACAAAUACGGAGAAAUGGGGUCCCCCUGUCGGAUCCCUCUUGUGGGCGUGAACUCCUGAAGUUUCUUUCCAUUGAAAAGGACUGAAAAUCUCACAGUUGAUAUCAUGUUCAUGACAAUUCCAACCCACCUUUCUGUGAAGCCUAACUUCAACAUUAUGGCCUGAAGAUAAGACCACUCCACCCGGUCGUAGGCCUUCAUCAUGUCUAGUUUCAGUGCACAGUGUUGAUUUUUCUUUGCUUUGUUCCUUUUCAUAAAGUGAAGACACUCAUAGGCCGUGAUUAUAUUAUCAGUGAUCAUCCUCCCUGGCACGAAGGCAGACUGCUGCUCUGAAAUAAUAUCUGGGAGUACCAACUUCAAGCGAUUGGCGAUGACCUUUGAUGCUAUCUUGUAGAGGACAUUACACAGACUUAUAGGACGAAAUUGCGACAAGAGAGUUGGGUUCUUAACCUUCGGAAUCAGGACAAGGAUGGUAUCAUUUAUACUUUCCGCAGAUUCCAUUCCAUCCACUAUUCUGAGCACUGCUUUAGUAACUUCACCCCCACAUAUCUCCCAAUGCUGCUGAAAAAAAUGUGCCGGGAAACCGUCCGGGCCUAGUGCCUUCAAGGGAAACAUUUGGAACAAGGCCUUUUUGACCUCUUCUUGACUAUAUGGAGCAUUAAGAGUGACGUUCAUCUCUCGAGUUACCUUCCUCGGGACCGUGUUGAUCACACUUUCCAUGUUUUGCACCCCCUCAGAACUGUAUAGAUUGUUAUAGAAAGCGGUAGUAGCAGCCUCCAUUUCUUCCUUGUUUUCGGUGACACGGCCAUCCGGGAGCUGUAAGGCUUUGAUCUGGUUCUUUCUGCGUCGUCUACUAGCUCUUAGGUGAAAGAAAUAAGUGUUUUUAUCCCCGUGAGCCAGCCACUCCAGGCGUGCCGUUUGCCUCCAUAAUAUUUCUUCUCUGUGAUAGAGCUCCACCAUCCUGUCUGUGAUCUUAGUCUCUAGAUGCGAAGGCGCAGCUCUGCCUGGAGCCGCACGCAAAGCCUCUAGUUCCUUCUUUAGUUGCCUGAUCUCCAAUCUCACAUUCCCAAAAUGGGUGCGCUCCCAUGUCGUCAAAUCAGCAGACAGAUUUGUUAACUUGUCAUGCAGCCCGGACACACUCCCUGUCGCUAUCGCAUUCCAGCCAUCUCCCACCACCUGUGCAAAAUCCGGGUGACGCUCCCAAGCAGCUUCAUAUUUAAAUGAGCGGGGCCCAAUUUUGCAUGCAUGCACGUAGUCAUUUCGGAGCAACAGUGGUAUGUGGUCGGAAGAUGCGGUGAGAUUGGGUCCAAAACAGGUGCCCCAAAUUUCCACAGACCUCACACCAGUCAGGCAGCCUCUCGUAUUUAACACGAAAGAUCUCUCUCUUCCCUUUCACAACCAGAGAAACAACAUUCUUUAGUGGCUUGGUUACAUCGAUCUUUACCCGGACUCGAACGAAAUUUCCUUCAAAGUCCUGCGACUUGGGCUCACCAUAGAUAUAUUCCCCUAACGUAGCAGCAAGUGCUUUAACUUUAGGCAAGAAUCCGUCCGGAAAGUCAUGGAUCUGCAUCCAUAUAGUAAUCUUAUUCAGCUCUAUAGACGACGGCCUGGUGAAACCAUCGUAGCGCUCGAUCACCACCGCCUUUCCCUUGAACGACCAUGGGCCUUCUUCCAUUACCCUCUCCCAAUCACCUAGGCAUGAGAACUUGAGUGUGUAUAGGUUAUCUUCCAGAGGCCGAAUAUGCACCUCCUGCGCUAGAUCCCACGCUGCCCGCAUGUUCCUAUAAAACCAGUACUGACUGUAUGUUUUUGGCGUGUGCACCCGGGCGACUGCCAUCCACCGAGUAGCCUCCUCUUCGAGUUCAUCAUCUUCCAUGACCACGUCCUGAAGAUCAUCCUCUUUCAAUCCUAAGUUCCUAACUUAGCCAUCAUGGCCUCCAGCUCGGCUGCUGCCUUGCUCAAGCUUGAAGACGAUUCGUCCAUUGGAUCUCUCGCCCGAGAUCGAUGUGUUCCGCGGGCGGUGAAACCCUAAUUCCUCCCCGCCAGGGAACCUGCCACUGCCGGGAUAAACACCCCGAUAGACCAGCAAGAGAGGCGAGGGGGAAGGGGAGGUGAUUUUCUACGGUGGUGGAGAUCGCCGAUCGCCGCCGCCGAGAGGAAGUCUAAACCCUAACGAGAGGGGACACUGCUUUUCCUAUCACGUGUGGCUGGGCGCUGGGCGAGCGCUAAGAGUUGCGAGUAUGUACGAGUAGAACUUAACACUGUUUGUUGUAAAAGAAGUUCAGCUUCUUAAUUCUUUCUUAUCUGUAAUGGGGGAAGCAGGGAACCGUCAGCGAUUUGCUCCCCUGCAUCGCGUGCGCCCCUGUCCAAUGGAGGAACCGACGGCGGCCGCUGCCGACUGGUCCAAGCUCCCGUCAGACGUCCUCACCACCGUCCUCGGCGCCCUCGAGUUCCCAGACCUCUUCCGCGCCGCCGCAGUCUGCGCGGCCUGGCGCGCCACCGCCCGCGCCCUCCGUCGCCUCGGGAUCUACCUCCGUCCCCAAACCCCCUGCCUCCUCUACACCACCGCCGCCGCCGGCCCGAACGCCGCCGAGCUCUUCAGCCUCGCCGACAAGAAGGCCUACAGGGUGCGCCUCCCGGACCCUCCCAUCGGGGAGCGCAACAUCGUCGGCUCCUCGCACGGGUGGCUCGUCACCGCCGACGCCCGCUCCGAGCUCCACCUCCUCAACCCCACCACCGGCGAGCAGGUCACGCUCCCCUCCGUCGCCACCAUCGAGCAGGUGAGCCCCGUCUUCGACCGCGACGGCAACCUCGAAAGGUACGACCUUUCUCGCCACGGCGACGAGCCGCAGCCCUGUGGGGUGGACGAGCUCCGGGGAGUUCUGUAUCUCAAGGUCGUGCUGUCCGGCGAUCCCGCGUUGGGGGAUUGCACGGCCGUGGUGAUUCACAAUCCCUAUAGGUGUCUCUCGUUUGCGAGGGUCGGUGACGACAAGUGGCACUGGAUCCCCUCGGCACCCGGCGAACCGCCGCGGUACUCCGACUGCAUAUUCGCCGACGACGGCGCGCUCUACGCGAUGAAUCUCCUCGGCGGUAUCCAUUGCUACGCCAUUGAAGGUUCUGGUGCUACCUGCAACAUGAUUUUCUAGGACAACUCGCCAUUCGUGGCGUAUAAUGGGUACCUAUCCAAGGCGUCGUCCGGGAGUGUGCUGCAAAUAUGGAGGGUCGCCAGGGAGACAACAAGUGGGGAGCAAGAAGAGAGGCAUACAGUUGGUAUUGAGAUAUACUCAUAUACAGGGUUGACUUCGACAAGCAGCAGGCGGUCCGUGUGCGGAAUUUGGGGGAUGACGCGUUGUUCAUCGGGCACAACUAUACUUGUUGCCUUCCCACAAAGGACUACCCAGGGCUGCUGCCGAAUCAUGUCUAUUUCACCGACGACGACGAGUACUGGCUGAUUGACGCGAAAGAUAAUCGUCGGGAUGUUGGAAUACUGAAUCUGGAGGAUUCUUAUAAGAUAAGUGCCAGUGGUGUGGUGUCUCCCCAACCAUGGUUGAAUUGGCCGAUUCCUGUAUGGAUCACUCCAAGUUUUCAUAAGAUCCACAAAUAGCUAGGUAUGAUUCUUGCACAUAGUAAUUACAUAUUUACCUUUGCUUGGUUUCUUUCUUAUGUGUAAGUUGAUAUGGUUUUAUUUCCUGGUUCUUUGUUUCUGAGUAUCUGUUCGUUAUUUGGCAAUACUCCCAUAGCAUGUUAAAAGAUUUGACACAUUGACAGGGUGUUUCAUCGAUACCAUAUACACAGCAGAAUGCACCGUUGCCUCUGUUGAAUUGAUAGCCCACAAUUUCUUUAGCGUCCAUUCGGAGGUUUAUGUUUGCGAUGAUCAGCGGCAAAUUUCUGUUCGUACAGUAUUUGGCGUUAUGUUGAAUCGACUGCUCAAUUUUAAGGUGGUGGCUAAGGUGAUUCAAAUUACAAAGAGUUCACAGAAGUUUUCUCCGUCAUUAUUUUUUCACACUCACUUGUAUGACACUGUUUGCCUUUCCCUCUUUACCAUCACUAUUUGGUGAAGUGCAUAAUUCGCGUACACCUAUACAGUACACCCUCCUUUUGCUUCGCACGAAAUGAUAUUUAUAAGUUAUACUUACUGGCGAUUAUUCCAAACUGACAGGUUUCCAGUAUAAGGAUGUUAGUGGGAAGGGAAUGCUCUUGCUUGUCAUCAAUAAUUUACUCCAGAACUAUUCUGACUGGAGAUAUCCGUUGGGCUGUUGCUUUUGGUAGGGCAAGCAAGCAGAAAGAAUUAAUUUAUCUGGUGGUCAGCCUGGCGAAGCAUUUAGGAAAAUGUUCCCCAGGGGAAGGAGAAAAGAAUGUUUAUGUUGGCUGAAAUCGAAGUUGCUCUGGGAAGAAGACAGGAUAUCAGUGGGAAGAGAAUGCUCUUGCUUCUCAUCAAUAAUUUACUCCAGAACUCUUCUUGCAUUUCUAUUAGCUUAACCUGCAGGAUGGAAGCGUCUUAAAUCUUUGAAUUCACUGUGACAUGUCCAUGUUGAUUACAGUGGCAGCAGUAUUUCAGUGGUAUUUUAACUUCCUAGAAAUGCCUGCUCCGCUGCACCCUUUCCUGUGGCAUUGAGAAGAUUCAUGAGGAUUUUACCUUCUUAUUGCGUUGUUUUAAGAUGUUUUCCGCAUAAAGAUGAGAAACAUGAUUGUUCUGCAAAGCCGAGGCAGAUCGAGAUCUUUGCUGCCCUUCAAAUCCAGGUUUAACAUUUGCAUCUCACCAAAACGGAUUUAAAAUCCUGCUGUACUCCUAACCAUUGCAGGAUGGGACAAUUGUAUUUACCUUGACACUGUAGAUUGAAAUCCCACUGAAACUUACUUCUAGGUCUUGAUGUGACCAAGUAUGUGACAACUGUAAUUAUUUGGGACAACUGCAAUAACACACCUUCCUUUAUUUUUGUCUCACGUGGAAAUUUACCGGGUGAGAAAGUUCUCACUUCUCCAUUCCGGAGAUGGUACUUGCAAUGUAAGCAACAUAAUUUAGUCAUUACUUGGAAAUAAUGAAAUUAAAAACAUAGAGAAAGUAUUGACAGUUAUAUCGAUAGUGUCGACCAAUCUGCAAUGUAGAGUUUAGUUUCUCUUAACUACAUACGUACUACCGCACGCAAACAAUCUAUAGUCUCGUGCACAAGCUAUCGGCUGCCUUGACUUACCUCUGAAUAGCUUCUACUAGAUGGAAUGGGUUCAGAUUGCCUUCAUGUGGCAACUUCUCCAAAAUGCAGUGUUAACUAGAGAUAACUUGAGGAAAAGGAAUUGGGAAGGGAAUCCUUUAUAUUCGUUUUGUCCAGAAAUGGAAUCUGCUAAACAUUUGUUCUUUGGCUGUGGGGUGGCUAGAAUAACCUGGGCCGUUGUUGGUAGAGUGAUGGGUUUUGAUUGUUGUCCUAGUAGUUUUUGGCAAAUUGUCUCUUGGCUAUAUGCUCUCCUGCCUGGAGGGGACAAGUUUUAUAUACACUACUGGAAUUUUCAUGUACGCCGGGUGUAAUACUCUUUGCCGAGUGCUAAAACACGGACACUCGGGAAAUCAAGCUUUGCCGAGUGUUACUCUCGGCAAACCCACCGUCACGGCAAACUGCCAUCUUUGCCGUCACUGCCUCACGGCAAAGAGGCACCGCACGGCAAAGUUGCAGACGCCGAGAGCCGCUCACGGCAAAGAGGAGCCACGUGGCAUGCCCGUCCGCAACAGACGGCUCCGUUAGUUACUGCGUACUUUGCCGAGUGUCACUCUCGGCAAAGCAUAUGCAACAUCCUUUUUUUUUUUUGUGUGUUCUUUCUAUCUGACAUGUGGUCCCACUAGUCACAUUUAUCAGUAAAACUUUUAAAUAACUUGCUAAAUAUUUUUGAAAAAAAAUGAUGAUAUCUUUGCCGAGAGCUGUUCGCCUGGUCCCACGUGUCAGGAACCGCCGUCACCAUCUGCUAUCCGUUAGCUACUUUAUUUUGCCGAGUGGUACUGUUUGGCUCUCGGCAAAGUGUUUGCCGAGUGCCCGUGUUCUGGCUCUCGGCAAACUCCUGUUUGCCGAAGAGGUGUACGCCGGGUGGCUUUCGCCGAGGGUGACACUCGGCAAAGGCUUUGCCGGCGGUUUUCGGCCCUUUGCCGAGUGUCCAUGGCACUCGGGGUAGCCCAGAAUUCCAGUAGUGAUACCCUGUGUGGUGGCUAUAUGUUGGGGUAUUUGGUGCACUCGUAAUAAAGUGACCUUUGAGAACCAUGUGAUGCGUACUGCAAUUCAGAUUAUCUUUACCGCUUGUUCGUUCUUAUCCUAUUGGACAGGUUUGUUGAAGAAGGAUGAAAGUGUUAUUGUGAAGAUGGGGAUCCAGGCGGAGAUGAAGGAGGCAACACUUCUGUCGAACAAGCUGCAGGCACGCGUCGUCCCUGACUGAAGGUUCUUCCGGACGCGACAGCCUGGUCCUCCAGGAUGCGGGUGGUGGAACCUGAUGGUAGUUGUUGGUCUUUAGUCUAGUGAUGUUUUGGCUCGUUGAUCUGGAUGUGCUGGGCAGAUGUGAUCCUGUGUUGCUGCCUGUGAGAUUAUGUCUUCUAUUUUUGCUAUCAUCUUGGUUUGGAUAGUUUGUGGUGCUAUCAGGUUUUUGCCCCAUAGUAGUUGUUUGUUGUGCAGCUAUAGCGGGUUUCCAGAUAGUCCCCCAACUCACUCCAUCCUUUCUAGUUUCCAGUUUUCGGUGUGGUCAUAUGUCGCUGGUGUUUGUAGCACCAACAAAAGAUUGGAUGCUGUUAUCUUUCCAUUAAGUAAUUAAUGCAAAGGUUGCUGUCAAAAAAAAGUCAUUAAUGGAAAGGGGGUUGCCCGGUUGGAAAAAGAAACAGUGAAAGCGAACAUAAUGAACAUGACUUUUUAUAUAUUAAUGUGUCAAAUGUUAUCAAUAGAUUAAACAUGAAAUUUAUUUUCAUAAUAUCCACAAUCAAGAAAAAUAUGGCCUACUUUUGUUGUCUAAGUCAGAAUUUGUUAUGUAAUACAAAUUAAAUUGGUACGAUUGAGUUUGCUGUCAAAAGCACACUCUCGUAUGAUUGAGAUUUUGUGGCAACCCCCAAAGUUCAAUUGUACAUAUUUUAUGUUUUGACACAGUCCUGGACAUAUUCUUCAUAUGAAUAUUUUUGAAAAAGAUUAUAAAAUGAUAUAAUGAAAGUAAUUUUCAUGGUCAAUAUAGUGAUAAUAUUUUCACUUGAAAAAUGUGACCACCAUUUAUACAUCCAUAUAUAGUACCAAUAAGAGAAAUUUGAUCCAUGUACUCUAGAAGGUUAUCUACUUAGCUGAUAAUAUUAAGAAUAUAUAUUUUACUUCUUGCAAAAAAAGAACAUAUAUUUUACAAAAAAUUCAGGUCAAAAUAUAAAUUUGUGCGGUUAAAAUGAAGCACUACAUAUAUAGUUAUGCCAUGUCCAAAAGGUCGUAUAUAUAGUUAUGCAAGAAAGUAUUACUAUUACUAUCAUACCAAAAAAUAUACAUAUAGUAGUAGCAUAUUAAGAGCAACAAGCUGGCCUGCCCCACACAAGUCAAAAUUACAUGGCAACCAAUCGGUGUGGAGUAGAAAUGCAGAAUGAUCAAGCGCUUGCUUGUUCCGUUGGUAACAUGGGCUUAGGAAAUCUUGAUGAUGGUUACCAAGGGCCUGAUGUUGCCACAAUAGCAGAGUGCAAGGACUUGAUACGGGAGUUUGUAAAAGUUUAGUUCACACACUGCUUCAGAGAAGCAAACGAUGCAGCAGAUGGCUCAGCUAAACAUUGCUAUAAUCCUGGACCCCCUAGCUUUUGGGACGUUCCUAUCCCUGAUUUUAUUCCUCGCCUUCAUGUAAAUGACCUAUCUAUUAUAUGAGAAAUAAAGUCGUUUUGAAAAAAAACAUGGGUUUAGGAAAUCUUGCAUAGGCACAUAACACAUGUAAAGAAGCCUUCACAAUUUAUUUUAUGAAAAUAAUCAAUAUUUUUUACAUGAUAUGCUUAAUCAAAGAUUGGUAUUAUCUCGUGUGGAGAACCUUUCCCGGACAUAACUCAAAUAUAGGUCAUCACUAUGCCUAGAUUAGAAUUGCACACAAUAAGGUUGAGCUUGGAGUAUGAAAAUUAGACUUUAUUCUUUCGGUGGGUCUCGGGCUCAAAAAGAAAAUGAACAUCAAUUAUAUCAACCAUCUCAAGAUAAAACUCGCAUGCGUUAGUACUCCUUCAGUUUUUCUCUUUGGUAAUGCUAUCUAGCUAACGUUCUGUGAGAAGCACUCGCGGAGCUUCGGCCAGGCCGAAUGGGCCAUGGCCCGCCCAUGGCUAGAGCAAUUUUUUUAUGAAGCCCACCUACAACACUGACACACAUAUGUGUGGCACGUAGAACCGGCAGAACCUAUUUGACGCCCAUUAGCGUCAAAAGGUUGACCUUUCGCUGAGGUGAGCCACCGGGUGGGCCGGCCCAUGUACAGGGUCCGCGUUUUAUCCGUUCGCUACAGCUUCCUUCGUUUUUUUCCUGUGUUUUUUUGCUUCCGGUUCUUUGCAAUGUUUUGUCCGGUCUUCACUGGUUUUGUUCUGUUUCUUUUUGUUUUCGUUCCUUUUUCCUUUCUUUUUUUCUUUUUUCGUUUCUUUUCUUUUUUUAUUUCUUCUUCCCUUUCCUGUGUGUUAUAUUCAAAGGUCACCUCCUAUUACAAAAGUAUUCAUCAUAUAUGAAAAACAUGGUUAACUGUACAUUGUGAAAAAGUUCACUAUGCAUUACGAAAAUGUUCAUCGUACAUUUAACAAAAUGUACACCAUAUAUUAAGAAAAUGUUCAUUGUAUUUAAAAAAUGUUCAUUGUGUACUAAAAAAAUGUUCAGCGUAUAUCAAAAAAAAAUCAGCGUUUAUCACAAAAAUGUUCAAUGUGUAUUUUAAAAAAGUCAUUGUAUAUCACGAAAAAGUUCAAUGUGUAUUUAAAAAUUGUUCAUCGUAUAUUUAAGAAGAUGUUCAAUGGUUGAAUUUAUUUGAUUUUUUAAUCUACCGAUGCGAUUAGUUCUUCGACAAUCUCACACCACUGUAAUAACUAAUAAUCAUCAGCUCAACUGGUAAGUAAUGCUGACUCUUUAUCGUUGGUUGCGAGUUUGAUUCUUUGACUAAGCAACCUUUUUUUGCUAAUUUAAUUGAAGCCACCGAAUGGGCCGGCCCAAUUCGAUUCACACCCUGCGCGAAAGCUGCUCCUGUUGAGCACUCCGUAGAACCCUCGCACGCGAGCAGCACUCAGCCCUAAAAAUGUCACAUGGGAUACAACGGGGCUGCCCAGGCCUUAGGGUCAGGCCGCCGGUCAAAGCGCAACAAGCAGCAGAUAUUAGCCGCCGGCCAUCUGCGCACCAUACAUAUUAGUUCCUUCCACGGACAGACGGCCCAUCAGACAUCAUCACACAGCUCGUCAACCGACCCACGCGUCCAGGGCAGCGAGGCGGCAACCCAGCUGCCAGAUCCUUCUCUGAAUCCAUCGGAAUCACUGCCUGCAAACUUGCCAAAUCUGAAUCCCUACAAGCUUAACACGUAAAUCAUCCCUAAUUUGUCUAAAAAAACGAAAAUCAUCCCUAAUUUGAUUCCCCUAAAUUCCACUUAGGUACUUUGUUAACUGGAUCAUCUCCUAAAUCACCAAUUAACAUAUGUAAAUAAUCCACUGAAUUUGGAAGCAUUUAUGCUCUCCAGCCCGCCAAACUUUCUUUCCGUAGCUCCGCCACUGGUGAGAAGGAUGGCAUUUGCGGCCGUUUUCCAUGGCAAUUUAUCUGCAUGAGCAUGUUAAUUCUUUAAGGCGAACACCGCAAUUUUCGCAGCAAAAUCCCUUCUUUUACAGAAGUUGCCAUCUAAUGCUGAAGAAAUUGCCAUGCACUUUCGAUGAACUUAGUCGUAAAAAACAUUCGCAAAAGCCAUGCUAACUUGUCCAAGAAAGAAAGUUAGGGUUCGUGCCUCUCGCCGGCGCCGGCGCAGGUCCGCCUCGUUUCCGGUGGCCCUAGGGCCAUGGAGGCGCGGUGGAUCCUGGCAAGGGCCGGCGGGAGGGCUCCGUUUUUAGUCGUUUUUUUCAAUCUUGCUAGGGUUUGUGUCCUACUCAGGAAGGCAAGACGACGGCGGCUCUCUGAAGAUGGAAUAAAGGUCUCCCCGCCUAGCCCCCGUUCCGGUGAUGUGUCUAGCAUCGUUGGUGGGCGUGUGGAGGUGUGUCUCCGGCAGAUCUAUCUUUGGUGGAUUUGCUCGGAUCUCGUCAUUGUUCGUCUACGUUCGUGUGUCUUCGUUUGGAUCCUUCCGAUCUACGUUAUUUUUCAUCGGCGGCGGUUGCUGUUCUGGGGUGCUAACCCUAUGGGGCCUUAGCAUGACGAGUUCCCGACUGUCUACUACAACAAGUUGUGCCCGGCUCCGGCGAUGGAGGGGCGAUGACGACGGCGCGCCUUCGGCUCGCUUCGGUGUUUGUAGUCGUCGCUAGGUGGUCUACGGAUCUGGAUAUAAUUUUUAUUUCGGGUGUUCGUUGUACUGCCAUGAUUGAAGAUGAAUAAAUUGAAAGUUUUCCCACAAAAAAAAACUUGUCUUACAAAAAGCCAUGCUUCCUAGAGAAUGUUCCCUUGGCUAUUGGGGUGCUUUUUUCUUUGUUCUGCGCAAUUUCUCAGACAGAAGUAAUAACGGUUUUGGCCACAUCAUCGCGAAAAAGUCAAAUACUAGACAUGUAGAGUAGUCAAGGGUCAAUCAUGCUAGUUGCUUGUCCUAACGUGCCACCUAAACCGUGAUAGUCCCGUCACUCUCUGGAUAUAACGCGGGUGAGGCAUGAACAUCUGGCGGGAUACUUGUCAACAGAACGCAGCUAUCCAGAAACUGCUGCUGCCCGUCGAUCUCUUUAAGAUCACGUCGGAGCACCAGUCCAACACGGGUGCUGGACUCCGACGACCUGCCGGUGCCGGCGUGUAUGAAUCCUGACCACUCCCAUUCUCAAAAAGUAAAAAGAAAAAACAGGACCAGUCCAACGGUAAUGCAUGUGGUACUUAAUAUUCUCGAUGCUGGACUUGACUUGCCGGCCGGCGUGUAUAAAUCAUGCAUUUUCGCUGCAGUUUCACCGUGACGGACGAGCGGCGGAAAUGGCUUCCGCUCAUCGCUGCACUAGUAUGGCGACCAAACUACUCAUGUCUGUCGUGUUGCUGGUGGUGCUAAAGCGCUCUGCGGGGGCGCGUUCUGAUGAUUCUCCGUGCGGCUUCCCGGCCAUCUUCAACCUCGGCGACUCCAACUCGGACACCGGAGCCUUCCCGGCCCUCUUCCCGGCGGUGCAGCCGCCCUACGGCCGGACCUUCUUCGGCAUGCCGGCCGGUCGGCAAAGCGACGGUCGCCUCACCAUCGACUUCAUGGGUAUGUAUACGUCUAUCUACAUCAUCUUCAGGUAUGAUUUUUAUUUUUCCUGACACGUAUUGCUUGCAGCUCAAAACUUGGGGCUGCGUUACUUGAAUGCGUAUCUGGAUUCACUGGGGAGCAACUUCACUCAGGGAGCCAAUUUCGCAAGCGCCGCCGGAACCAUCAGACGGGUGAACGGGAGCUUGUGGACCUCCGGGUACAGCCCCAUUUCCCUGGACGUGCAGAUCUGGCAACUCCAGCAGUUCAUCAACAGGAGCCAAUUCGUCUACAACAACAUAGGUUCGGUGAAAAUGAAACUUAAAUCGAGUAUAUUUUUAGUACUCCUUCUGUUCAUUUUUAUAAGACCUUGAAGAUAUUUCAGAUAAUGUGCAAAACAGCCUAUUUUGAAUUAUCUGAAACGACUUGCAAAAAUGAACGGAGGAAAUAAUUUUUCACUGGAAGCUUAAACUGUCUGCAGGUGGAAUCUAUCGGGAAAUCCUGCCGAACCCCGAGAACUUGAUAUCCAAGGCGCUUUACACCUUGGACAUCGGCCAGAACGACCUCACCGUGGGCUACUUCGACAACAUGACCACCAAGCAAGUCGAGGCCUACGUCCCCGAUCUGAUGGAGAGGAUCUCGUCGGCGAUCCAGACCGUGUACAACCUCGGGGGGAGGUACUUCUGGGUGCACAACACGGCGCCGCUCGGGUGCCUGCCGUACGCCUUGACGUUCCGCCCGGACCUCGCCGCCGCAGAGAAGGACGGCGCCGGCUGCUCCGUCGAGCUCAACGCCGGCGCCCGGUUCUUCAACGCGCGGCUCAACGAGACCGUGGACAGGCUCAGGGCGACGCUCCCCGGCGCCGCCUUCACCUACGUCGACGUCUACGCCGCCAAGUACAGGCUGAUAAGCCAAGCCAAAAAGCUCGGUUUUGGGGACCCCCUGCGCGUGUGCUGCGGGUACGGCGGCGGCCAGUACAACUUCGACAGGGACAUCCGGUGCGGCGACAAGAUGGAGGUGAACGGCACGUCGGUGCUGGCGGGGAAGCCGUGCGAGGACCCGUUCAGGAGCGUGAGCUGGGACGGCGUGCACUUCACCGAGGCGGCCAACAAGUUCGUCUUCGACCAGAUCGUGGACGGCGCGCUCUCCGACCCUCCCGUGCCUCUGCGGCGGGCCUGCCAGGCCAAAGGGCAAUGAACAUGACGUUCGUUAAUUAGGCUGCGGAUGUAGCUAGGAUUUUUUCUAUGCACCCGUACUGUUGUUACGAAUAAAAUCUGCAGUGAGUAUCCGUACUCCAAAUAAAACCUGCAGUGAGUAUCUACUUAUAAGGCAGCUAAAGAAAUCUAUGAAUAAUAAAUAUAUCUAAAUGAUAUGUGCCGACGGUAAAGUUAAGGGCUUACAGCGCAGUUUGAAGGGUUGCGGGAGGUUUACGGGUCCGCUUGAAGAUGCCCUUACAGCUCUAAAGUUUGUCCCAAACCAAAAGCUUGCCAAAACCUCUGACUGCAUUAGCAAUAUCUGCAAAUUUUCUAAGGUCCGGAUGAAAACCAACAAGCAUCAACCAUACUUCUCUGUUAAAAUGAAAUUACAAAUCUUACCUACUCCCUCCGUCCAGAUGCAUAGGUCAUCUUAAGUUGUGCACCGCGAUGAAGGUGUAGGAAAAACCGAGAGAACUUAAUGUUUAUUUACUAAUUAAUACUAUUGCAUGCAAUGAACUGAUCAUUACAUGUCGUGUUUGUAGUCUCAAGUCAUUAAAAGCAUACACGUCCCACAUCUUUUAUUGGUUGAUUCCUUUAUUUAUAUCAAGAAAUGAAGUGGGAGUUCAUACACCUUGCCUAAGUGUUUUCGGAUUAUUUGGUUUUGUAAGGUGACCUAUACACCUAAACGGAGGGAGUAUUCUAUUUAUUGCGUAAGUUCACCACGCGACGUUACCAUCAACACAUAGCAUUAGAUAUAUGUAGCGAACCAACCUGUGGUUGGAUGGUUAGAGGGACCGUGGUAUCCCCAGCCCACUAGGGUUCAAGUCCUGGUGCGCAUUUAUUCCUGGAGACGUUCCCGUCGACGACGAGGUACCUACAUAGGGGUAGGGUGUGCGUGUGUGCGUUCAUAGGAGUGAGUGUAUGCGCGUGUAUAUGAGCGCUUGCGUCUGUACUGUGUUAAAAAAUGCAUUAGAUAUAUGUAUUAUUCAUAGAUAUUUUUUUGUAACAAUUAUAAAUAGAUACUCACUGCAGAUUUUAUUUGGAGUACAUAUACACACACUCCGGAUUUUAUACAUAUUUAUACCCCUAUAUAGUGUGCGAAUAACUUUGAAAAAUGGUCGUUGGAUGAAGCCAACCCGACGGUGCAGAGAUGGCAAAUCCGAGCACUACUGGCCGUUGGAUAUCAUCUACAUUCCAUCAUAUUUUGCCACAUGUACAAUCUAAAAGACUCCACGGUUGAAUUUAAGCAUAAUGCACAAACCUCAAAACACAAGCACUUCUUCUUUGUUCUAAAAUUUUCUGUAUCAUAAUUGCCCAAUUUUUUUUCUAGAUGAAUUGCCAUUAUUUAUUUUUUUACUUUAUGCUUUACAACGCACAAUUCCAUGAAUCGUAAAAUAGAUUAGCUUUUUUUAUGAAAACUAACUGAUUUUGAAUGAGAUGAUCUAUAGGAAUUAAACGAACAUCUACAUCAUGCAUAUAUAACUCAAAGCUUACCUGCUAUAGUGUGGCAUUUAUUCAUAAUUUGAUUGUCAAAUCUCAUGCGUGCAAUGCACGUGUACCUUACUAGUUUUAUUUGGAGUAUGGACGUUUGGAAAAAUCCGACAUCGGUAGCCUAAUUAAUGGACAACAUGCUCAUUGCCCUUUCGCUUGGCAGGCCCGCCGUAGAGGCACGGGUGGGUCGGAGAGCGCGCCAUCCACGAUCUGGCUGAAGAUGAACUUGUAAGCCGCCUCGGUCAAGUGCACGCCGUCCCAGCUCACGCUCUUGGACGGGUCCUCGCACGACUUCCCCUCCCGGACCAUGCCGUUCACCUCCACCUUAACGCCGCACCCGAUGUCCUUGUUGUAGUUGUACUCGCCGCCGCCGUACCCGCAGCACACGCGUAGAGGGCCCGCAAACCCGAUCUUCUUGGCUUGGCUCAUCAGCCUGUACAUGGCGGUGUACACGUCGACGUAGGUGAAGGCGGCCUCAGGGAGAGCCACCCUUAGCCUGGCCACGGUCUCCUUGAGCCGCGCGUUGAAGAACCGGGGGCCGGCGUUGAGCCCGACGGAGCAGCCGGCGUUGUCCUUGUCGGCGGCGAGGUCCGGGCGGUACGCCAGGGCGUACGGCAGGCACCCGAGCGUUCCCGUGUUAUGCACCCAGAAGUACCUCCCACCGAGGUUAUACACCGUCUGGAUCGCCGACGCGAGCCUCUCCAUGAGGUCGGGGACGUAGGCCUCGACUUGCUCCGUGGUCAUGUUGUCUAGGUAGCCCAUGGCGAGGUCGUUGGCGCCAAUGUCGAAGGUGUAAAGCGCCUUGGAGACCAGGUGCUCGGGUUUCGGCAGGAUCUCGCGGUAGAUUCCACCUGCGGGGAGAUCGAAGAACCUCCGGUAAGAAAUUGUUGAAAAUAUAACGAUUUUUGCAUGGUGAAGUUUCAUUUUCACCUAUGUUGUUGUAGACAAACUGGCUCCUAUUGAUGAACUGCUGGAAUUGCCAGAUCUGCACGUCCAGCGAAAUGGGGCUGUACCCGGAGGUCCACAAGCUCCCGUUCACUCGUCUGAUGGUUCCGGCGGCGCUCGCGAAGUUGGCUCCCUGCGUGAAGUUGCUCCCCAGUGAAUCCAGAUACGCACUCAGGUAACGUAGUCCCAGGCUCUGAGCUGCAGUACAUGCCACGGAAACAAUAUAAAAGAUUCUCCAGUUUUGAGUUGUUUGCUCAGGGGAAAAAAACCUGCUACGCUUGAGAUGUCGUAGAUGGACAUAAACGUACCCAUGAAGUCUAUGGUGAGGCGGCCGUCGCUUUGCCGCCCGGCCGGCAUGCCGAAGAAGGUCCGGCCGUAGGGCGGCUGCACCGCUGGGAAGAGGGCCGGGAAGGCUCCGGUGUCCGAGUAGGAGUCGCCGAAGUUGAAGAUCGCCGGAAAGCCGCACGGGGAAUCAUCCGAGCGCACCCUCUGCAGUACCACCAGCAACACGACGAAGGCGAUGAGUUUGUUGAUCGCCAUGAUGGUGCGACGGCGAGGAGAAGCGGCUGAAACGGUGUCCGUGACGGUGAAGUGGCUGGGAGAGGAUUUAGACACGCCGGCAAGGUGGUCAGAGUCUAGCACCCGUGUUGGACUGGUGCUCCGACCUGAUCCUAAAGUGAUGGGAAUAGCUACGUCUUGUUGACAAGUAUCAUAGCCUGAUGUUCAUGCACCACCCUCCGAGAGUGACGGGCCAUCACCGGCCGUUUGCGUGGCACGUUGGGACAAGCAACUACUAGGCGUGCUUGACCUUUUUUUUAGAUAAGCGUGCUUGACCCUUGAUUGCUCUCUAGCACAGUAUUUGAUGUGGUUAUUACUACUUCUGUCUGAGAAAUUGCACAGAGCAAAGAAAAAAAAAAGAGUACUGACGCUAGAUGCGGAUUUUUGGCUCUCGGGGGACACGUGCCCCCUAUAUCCGAACGGUGAUGUGGCGCGCCUGGCAUCCCUUGGCAGCAGGGCGGUGUUUCUCCUUAUGGUCGACCCGAGCAUGUCGUCAGGCUGCACGCUGUCGAUGAUCCAGCUCGUAAGUGACCCCAUCGAAUACAAGGAUUUUAAAUACAAGAUCCAGGUGUUUACUGUGAUAAGGACUCAUUACUCCGCUUGAAUUACUCACAGAUACAUGUUACAAAGUGUUGGGGAAGAAUAAGUUUCAGCCGCCACCGGUUAAGUCUGAUCUCAACCAGGAUAGCUUUUUUAUAGGGUUAGGAUAGCUUGUUCCUUGCGUUUUCUCUUGUAUAUGUAGUUGUGUGUCGUUGGGAGCUGGUGGUGGACUAGGCCUUGAUCUGUCUUUUGCCCGCACAGUGGACGGUCGCUAAAACCCCUCUCUUCUUGAAAUAUGCCAAAAUCGCCAUGGUAGUUGUUACAAUAGUAACCAUCAUUGAGGUCGACUUGAACAUGAUCAAAGGGGAAGGCAUCCUCGAUAUAGUAGUCGUGCCGUUGGGGACUUGCUCGAAGAAGGUGUCGAGGUAGUGGUGGUGGACGACAUAGACUUGAUCGGAGUAAUAGUAGGCUUAGUCGAAGCAGCAACAACGUCUGUGAAAAAAGUUCAUCAUUUCUUGGCUAUGAGCAACUUCUAACACUUACCCGUAAAAUAGAACUUCUAACACUCCUCCCUCCAUGAAACUCUCUUUGCCCCUAAGAUGAAUCUUUGAGGGAGAUCGAAGGUUAUCUCUCGGGGAUCCCAUGGAUUGUGAAGUUCCUUGAUCUUGUUUGGGUCAGCGUGGAAGUCUUCCUAGUAGGGACGAGGUUAGUGUAGUGACUGUAGUCUUGGUCAUGGUAGUGAUCUUCGUCAAAGUAGUAGCCGUAACCGAGCUUAACAUGGUCAGAAAAGGCCGCAUGAAACAUAGCUUUGCAAAGGAGUAGAGGCAGCCGAGAUGGACAAAGAGUGUUAAUUUCAGUCGAGACGGAUUGCUCUCUCACCCCACAAUCGUAUCAGGCAAAGACCACUUCUAUAAAUAUAAUAAAACUAGGAGAAAAUGUGUUCCUGCACCAGUGAGAAGAUUUGUUCCUCCAAAGUCCACACAGUCCAGCAUCAGGAUGACGCCGAGCUACCAAAUGUUGCUCGACCGAAGCAGUUGGGAAGCAUCAUCGCCCAGGAUGAUGACACCUAUGUCGUGAGCCAGGAUCUCGCCGUGAUGAGAAAUUGAGACGGAAGGGUUGACACAUCGUUUCAAGGGAGAAAUGAGGGCUCCAUUGUAUAUCUCCAGCCGAAGUAAAGUGGCCAUGACCAUAUCGGCACACGACAUAACUCUCAUUACCGAACAACCAAACUUAAGCCAACACACGUAUCAGAACAAGGAAUAGUUACGGGAGUGGGAGGCGGCGGGAUAAGCUCCUCAAGAUACUAUUAAAUUGGACAUGUGUUUUUCCCAAAAAGAAAAUUUGGACAUGUGUUUCAUGUCCAUAAUUACUACUUAGGACCAAGGGGCUCUUUUGACUUAAAUGAUUUUUAUAGAAAUUUUAGAGGAUGAGAAUCCUUAGAAUUUUUGUUCUUAUAUUGACUGUUUGAUUCAUUUAAUUGAACACAAUAGGAUUUUUUUUUCCAAAGAUUAUUUUGUACAACAUUCAAUAAAACUAAAAGAAAUGCCCUGCAAAAAAAACAUUCAAUAAAAAAUUAGUAUCCUCUCAAACCUUUUAGAAAGAAUCUUUGCUUUUCCAGCGAUGGAGUUAAAGAAACAAAAUCUAGGAUUGAGAUAAAUAUGACAUGUCAAUCCUAUAUUUUUCCAUCCUAAAAAAUCCUAUAUUUUUUCCUAUUUCCAUUUUCACGUUUUUAGGAUCCCGCGAAUCAAAAGGCCGUAGAAGAGCAAGAAAUAUCUUCAAUAAAAAGGUUUCCCAAACGUCCUACGGAGGCCACGGAGAAGAGAUUUCGUUCUCCAUUUGGGAAAACCACAGAGAACUCGACGGGAGCUGGAUUUGGGAGGACGGAGCGGGAGAUCGAUCGACGGAGCAUCCAUCCAUCCAUCCACCAUGGCCAAGGUGAAUGCCUCCCACGCAUUUCUCUCUCUGAUGAAAUCCCCGUCCAGUUUACCUUCCAGCAGCCGCCGCCGCGAUUCACCGCGCGCGGACCUGAAUGGGGUUGCCCGCUUAGGCGGGUGGCGGCGGCCUGAAGGGGAGGCGGGGCUCGUGGAGGUGGAAGUGGCAGCCGUGGUAGCGAACGGCGGCGGCGGCGGCGGCCGGGUGUUUAGGGUUUGGGGGAAAACUGAGUGAAGCGCGCGCGCUCGCAUUUGAAGCGAUUUUGCAGAUGGUAUCGCGAGAAUGCUGGUUGCCAUGGUCUGAUCCAAGAUUAUCUUGGUUUUCUAACUGGACAUUUUGGUGUGGUGCCCUGUAUCAAAUUUUCGAUCUGAAACUUCUGAAACUGAUGGAUCGGCCAUACAUGCUUUUCUGCCUCAUUCACUGUCAUACAUGGCCAUCUCUAUUACCGGUCAGUAACUUUGCGUUUCGCUGUGAGCAAUCUGCAGAAGGCUGGUGCGGAGAGGGACGCGGCGGCGGAGAGCUGUGCCCAAAAGAAGGCUAGGAUCGAGUACGAGGCCAAGGCUGCGGCGUCGAAGAUCACCGUCAACUUAGACCACAAGUUGCUGGAGUGCUCCGCUUGCUGCAGCCCGUUGGCUCCACCCCUUUUCCAGGUACCAAACAGGACCCUGUAGUUGACAGACUAGUAUUCCCUUGUUGAAUGUUUACUCCAUUUUACUAGAUUCAGUUAUACCCUGCAAUUUGUUUUUACAAAGGUUGUACCCUGCAGUUUAGCUCUGUGUUACGAGGUAUUGACCAUCUGUAUGUUGAUAUUGAUGUAUCCGAUAGGUCACUUGCAGCAAAUCUUGCAUCAAUUAGUAUGCUCCUCCUAGACUUCUGAUUCUUUUUCUUCUGAAUUCAGUACAACUGGUUCCAAUGUUACUAGUGAAGUUGAUAAAAUUAAGAUGUGGACAGAUUGGUCACAACUCAUUUAGUUAUGUCUUUGACAAGAGCAAUAUGCAAAUCAGUUUGUCUAAUUCACAUCUAGAUGUUUUCCAAGGAUGUCACAUCUAAGCUCCCACAAAUAACACAUCAACAUGGAACAAAAAAAAAAGUUGGGACAAACGAAAAUAGACCACAAACAUAGUAUGAUGCAUUACCUAUCUUGGCCUAUGCGCUAUCAACUCUCUGGAUCACUGGGUGGACCUAGAUUCAACGAACUGUUACUGGCAUGAAAGCCAUAUGUAAAGUGUAGUAGCUGAGUAUGAGCCAAAGUUUAGGAAGGCCAUUAUUAAGCAACAGAUAAACACUACGUGCGUGAAGAUGCUAUGUUUUGCAUCACAAUCAUAGAACUACUGUAGAUAUUAUGGCACAAAACUGGCACAGCAGUGGUAAUCCAAUGCUGUUUCAUGCUUGUGCACUUCUCCUGUUUCUGACAGUUUCAGUAAAAUCUGUAUGUUUCUGUUUCUCUGUUUUUGUCUGCAGUGCACAAAUGGCCACAUCGCAUGCUCAGAGUGCCGCACCAAUGCGGAGUACAGUUGCAGCUUCUGUGCCGAGCCGGCCAACACCCGCUGCGACAUCAUGGAGCGCGUACUUGGCGGCAUGACAGCGCCGUGCUCGUUCCGGGAGUUUGGCUGCUCCGCGACGAUCCCGUUCACGAAGAAGCUGACCCAGGAAGAGUCCUGCCUUCAUGCCCCGUGCCACUGCCCCAUCCCCUACUGCCGCCUCUACGCCAACCGUGGCCAGUGCCUGCGCGAGCACAUCGAGACGAAGCACUGCUUGGUCCCAUACGGGGAUGCCACAGCCGGCAGCCUUUCCCCUGUGAGGGUGUGCGACAGUGAGCCGGCGCGCCUGGUGUUCCUGGACGCCAGGGCGGUGUUCCUGCUGGUGGUUGAGCGGAGCGGGCCGUCGGGGCGUGCCGUGUCGGUGGUCCAGCUCGUCAGCGAGCCAGUGAAGGAGGAGGAGGAGAAGGAUUUCAAGUACAAGAUCCAGGUGCAUACGCGAGCAGGCGUCCUCUCUCUGUCCGGCGAGACGCAGAGCGUCGGGCGACUGAUGAGGCCUUACCAGGCAGCCGCGUCGCUGUUCGUCUCGGAUGACGUGUGGUCUCCCCAGGAUUCUCCGGUGUACCUCGAGUUUAAAUGAAUCUGGAUAAGCUGUAUGCCGUUCAGUUGGCAAACCUAUCCCAUCUGGUAGGAGAAUUCAGAGACUCCAUUCUGUUUGUGCUCUUGUCAGCUGUGCCCUUCUGGUUGCUGCGAUUAUCUUAUCUCUGUUGUUUUUCGAACAUUCAGAUGUUCAGUGUUCUUGUCAGCUUUUGAACCUGAACAGUGAGUUCGUUCUACAAAAUGGGUAGUGUUACUGAACAAGAAUGUAGGCAGCUGUUCUGAAUUUACUCAAAACUUGUCUGGAAAAAAAUCGAUGCUAAAAGAUGCUUCAAGAAGUAGUCCUUUUUUAGGAUUGAUUUUUUUGUUUUGUUUUUCGGCAAGACCUCCAUGAUACUGCUACCUUCAUAGAGUAGUGAAAGCUAAUCCUUGGACAGUGCAGAUUUGUGAGGUGUUUGGUUCCAUGAGCACUUCUUUUUAUCCAACAGUGUGUUUGCAGUUGAUGAAUGUAUGCAACUGUGCAUGCAUGUAUUUUUCGUUCAGCUUUCGAACUUGAAAUUUAUUGAUUAAUGUUGGUUCUACAAAUACAAAUACAAACUGUGUAGCACGAUGGAUGCCUGUUGGAUAUGUCUGAAGAAUGCAUACAACUGUUCUGAAUGUACUCAACACUUGGAACAGCAGAUUGCAGCUAGGUGCUGCUGCUGCUGCUUAAUGGACGGAGGGUGGUGUUGUUUCGCUGGAAGAGAGGUGUGGAAUUGCAGAGCGGAUGUGAUGGGAAAAAGGGGGCGAGAUUAUAUAGGAGGAAGGAGGUCAGCUCUGAAUGGUGGAUGAUUGAUGCCUCGGAUAAGUGACAUGGCCAAAAUUGGGUUGUAAAUUUGGGGAGUAAGGGCCAUCUUGAAUGUAAGAUGGCUAGAUAGGCACUUAGGGAAAUAAAUAAAACAAAUCUCAUAAAAUCUGACCGCUUAGCCUACUCAUAGUGGGGACUAUCGUAUAUUAGUAUCGAUACUGGUGUAUGAUACUAUCUUCAUAGUGCAUACUAUCAUAGAUUAGUAUCACAAAUCAUCUUAUUUUUGCCACGCAUGACACAUAGUAGUAUAACAUUUAUUAUGAUAGGUAUCUACCUAUGUUACUUUAACCCUCUCUCCUUUAAUUGUCUGCCACAUCAGCGUGUUUUCUAGUCCCGAGUGCAUGAUACCGGCUAAGGUACCACCACUAUGGCCAGCCUUAUUGUUACAACGUUGAGCGGUAAUUACGGGGCGCUUAGGGGACUGGUUGUUUCACGCAGCGCUCCAUCUCGUGCGAGAAAACAGCACAAGCGCUCGACUCCUUUUCUUGUGUAGAUGCCGCACCUAGCACCAGGAUUGAAUGGCCCAACUGCACCUUCGACGAGGAAUUGAAUCAUGGCGCCAAUGCUAACGCCCAGCGUUAUAUAGGCCCUAAGCGCAUCUACAACGCCGGGCGCUAGGCCCAGACACUAGUAUUAAUAUCCUACUGAAUUGGCAGUUAGACUAACUAAUCCUAGCGUCUUAUAGAGAGAUUCUUAUAAAGUCGGUAGCCAAGGCAAUGCCCUCUUAUGCUAUGGCAGUGUUUAAAUUGCCAAAAGAAUUUGCAAGCCUAUUACCGAUGAAAUUUCGGGGUUUUGGUGGGGAGACAAUGAAGAGCAAAAGAAGAUGCAUUGGUUCGCGUGAUGGAAAUUGUAUAUUCCAAAGAGAAAGGGGGGCCGGGGUUAGGGACCUUCACAGUUUUACUUUUGCUAUGUUAGCAAAACAGUGUUGGCGGCUGAUCCAAAAUCCAAACUCUUUGUGUGCACAAGUCCCGCGAUCUAAAUACUAUCCACAUUGAAAUAUUCUUAAAGCUGGACAUGAGAAAGGGUCGGCUUACACUUGAUAGAGUAUCAUAGCGGGUAUUCAAACUUUUCAGCGAGGGUGCAUAUAAAGGGUUGGCUCUGGAUCACAAAUAAAAAUAUGGCAAGACCCAUUGAUUCCUACAAGCGCAUAGUGGAGAAUUAUUACGCCUAGGGGUGGGACUACGUUGUCUAACGUAGAAGAACUCAUUGACCCCAGUUUGGUAAUUGGGAUGAAGAUCUCAUACGUGAUGUAUGCUCAAAGAUGGAUGUUCAAAGAAUCUUACAAAUCCCAUUGCAUGCUCAAAUGAAUGAGGAUUUCAUUGCAUGGAACUAUACUCAUUCCGGCACGUUUUCGAUCCGGUCUGCAUGUUAUAGAGAGCUAGACCAUCAGUUUGGUUCCAUGUUGACAAGGCUAGUGAGCAUAUUAAUCAUGCUUGGAAAGAUAUAUGGCGGUUACAUGUGCCUGGGAAAGUCAAACACUUAAUUUGCUUGAAAGGUGCUACAUUGAGUCCUACCUAUGGAGCUUUGGCAGCCCUACACAUACCUUGUUCACCCCAAUGCCCAUGAUGUUUGGUGGGUGCCGAAGACUUGCAGCACUGUAUCUUCAAAUGUCGUUGUGUGAAAGAAGUGUGGUCUCAGCUGGGACUUCUAAAUGCCAUUCAAAGAGCAACUGAUGCGGACAGACCAGACUCAGUCACUAUGAAGAUCUUAUCAAAGCUUGAUGUUGUCUCAGACGGACUACCUGUGGUUGAUCUGGCUGUUGUGCCGGCAUGGUACCUUUGGUGGCAACGACGGCAACUUGUGAAAGGAAUCGUGAUUCAAAAUCAUGAGAAAACGACAUUGUCUAUUCGUGUCCUAGCUACAUAUUACAUCAAAUCAAUGUCUCCAAAGCUCCUGACUCGGAAGAAAGAACAUAUGCGGCAAAAACCGUCUCAUGGACUGGCCAAGGUUAAUGUAGAUGCAUCAUUUCAUGUGGAUACUUUAUCUCGAGGCUGCGGUGCUGUCGUGCGUGAUGAAUGGGGAGACUUUCUAGCGGCACUGCCUUGGUUUCUUCCGCAUAUCCGAGAUGUUGAUUCAGCGGUGCUCAUGGCAAUUAGAAAUGGAAUACACAUGUUGGCAAAUUUGGGGUGCAACAAUGUGAAGAUUGAAUCCGAUUGCUCGUUUGCGGUGGAGCAAUUCAGCUAAUAGACUCUGUUAGAAUUAAAACGAGGUGCAUCGUCAAUCUACCAAGGACCAAGCAAUCACACAAGCACGACAUCGAGAUUUUUUAAUGAGGUUCACUGAUAUGGCUACAUCCCCGAGGCCUGACUACGGGCGCUCCUCCCCAUGACACCGCUACAAUAGCGCACCCCGGCCGCCCGGACACCGGCACACGCCGUCGGCACCCCUGCGUGCCUGUGCUAUUAUGUUGGCAUAUAUGUUACAUCAUGUGUCUACCCUCGCUAUAUAUGAGAGGCCUAGGAUACAAGUGUCCUAUUAGGACACAACUCCUACCCUAUCUACACACAGUUCAAAACCAAGUCCAACUGUAACCUACCUUGUACAACAAUAUUCGACACAACUCUAACAAACUCCACCUUGGCGAAUAUUCUUCACCAUCUUGGAUUCAUACAUGCGUCGAACCUCCAUGUACAUUGGAAUGGAGAUAUGCCAUGAGCAUCACUGCUACUCCCAGACUUCAUAUGACUCCACCUGCAACUGUAGUCCCUUCUUGUCUUCUUCGCAGUCAACAGUCGAGCAAAAUUAAGUUCCUCUUUACUCUACUUUGUGGUCCCAACCUCCGGAGUAUCCUCUCAACGCCAUCACACCGAUAACUGAUCUGCGUGAAAGUGAACAACUCACAUAUUGGACGUCACAUAUAAGAGUUACCUGAACUCAACGUCACCGCUCUUUCUUGACUGUUGUCUGAAACUUGAAGGAAUUUCACCGUCGCCCUGUGUCACCCUGAGUCAAGUUCACAGUUGUCUCAUCCUUUUUCCGGAUAGUCUCUUACAUGUCCCACAGCUAUAGCACUCCGCCUCCUUCUGUAUUUGUCAUCCUCACUUUGCCAUGUGUACCGAACACCACAGAAUAUAUGGCCAUGUACUCUCUCAGCUUUUGACAAUUUCAGACUCUCCGUCACUUUCUCAGAUUCUCCAUGGUCAACUCCUGUCCAUCUUCUGGCACAGAUAGACCCAGUGACCAACUUGAAUCCGGUACUCGUCAACACUACUUUAGCACCCCCUGCACAAUUUGUCUGGCCACAUGUCUGACCACCAGUGCCUUGGCCUGUCGCCGUGUCCCGUGCUUACCGCACGCCUCGCCGCUAUCACCGCGUCGAGCCUCUGCUGUCCUGGUCGAGUCUUCCGGGUAGUUAGCCCCCCACUGCCUCAACCCCCACUGCAGAGAACCGUCGAUCAUCACCGACCGAUGCCGAGUAUCAUGUCUCCAUCAGACCACAGGUACCCAGUCUGAACCAUGUGUCUCUCGCAUUCCCGCUGAAAUAGGCUACGAUUCUCCGGAUCCUUGCGCCGUAGCCCCUCUAUCAGCAUAGAGUGAAAUCUUUCGCUAGACUCCAGCUCCACCUUCAACAUGACUCCAUGUAGCCGCGCCUUGCUACCCCACGCCUUGUUGACUUUAAACUCUCUCAUGUGUGCACCAUCUUGAAUCAACACCGCGUCAUAGUCUGUUGAAGCCGCACAAGCCCUCAGGCCUGCACCACAUGUUUUCACGCCCCAGAAGUUGGCCACCUUCAGCAUCACGCUCCUAUGUCGUUGUUGCUGAAAUCACCGCCACCUUCUGUCCAACCGACAUCCCUGUCGACCCAUCAGACUGUCAUGUCCGACACUAGCCGUGUAUGUCCGACGCAACCAUGCUUCACCCUGCGCCGUGUCCGCCCCGCAUAUCUCCGUGCAUUGCUUGACGCCCUGCGUAUGCAUGAUCUUGCCACGACAUGAUCCAAACUUCUCCAACCCUUAUACGCAUGUCGCCCGUCCCUUUGUCGUACACACUCCGAGCACUUCCGCAAACUUACCAACAUGAAAACUAUCCUUGCAGACUUGACCGCUAGUACUUCGGUGUGUAUGCUGCAGACCCUUUUUUUUCAGAACAAGUCCCGCCUGGGCACUGCGCCCAGCCAUGUUGGAUACUGCAAUCCUCACAGUACAAUCCUAAUUAAGGUGCCAUCAGCAAACCGAACACAAAGAUUCGUUCUUCUAUUCAAGAUUGCCCAAACCUUUAACCAGUGCGUCUGCAAUCCAAAUCCUGCAUGCUUUUCCAUCGGACUUGCUCCAAUUUUCUAUUAACAAAUCUCACACAAAACAUGCACGCCUUGCCAGCUCAUUGCCAAUCUUCAACGAUGUAGCGCCUGGCCACCACGUGCUAGCAGCCGUCCUCGUUCAGGUCAUCACGGAAAAUAUUUUUUUUAUAAUGUGCAUAUUUAUAAAAAGAAAUUGAUGUUUCCAAUUUUUUUUUCAAAUUUUAAAAGAUGUUCUUCUUUCAAAUUUUGUUCACGUUUUCCCAAAAGUGUACUUAAUUUUCAAAAGAAUAUUUAGAAUUUAAAAAAAUGGUUCAUGUUUGCUAGAAUAUUCAGAAACUUCAUACCAUAAAAUCCCCUCGAUUGAAAGAAAAGAUAGAUUGAAUAAUUAAAGGGCCGUCUCUGGCGUACGAUGAAGUAAUGAAACUCCUAAAUGUCUUCUAUCAAUGAAGGGAAAAAUAACGGAUUGAUUACUUCACAAGCGGCAAAACUGAGAAGCUAAAUUUUCCUUUUUCGCGUGCACACAGGUUUUGCUUGCACAUAUAUUUUUCACUAAAUUUAAAUGCAUACUAUAUUUUUUCUCGUUGCAGCGCACGGGUAUAUGUGCCACUCCUAUGAAUAUGAAUAGAAAAGAAGAUACUUUUCAUAGGAUUUUUUCAUUGAGUCUAGCCUAAUGUUUGUUUCCUUGUGAAAUGCCGGAGGAUAGAAAGAAUUUCCAUGCCUACAAAUCAAAGGGUUGUAAAGAAUUUUUUUUCCUAUAGAAAUCAUAUCAUAUGGAAUCCUAUAUACCUUUUUUUAGAACGAAGACGCCAUAUGCGUCCGGCUUAAAUUAAUAAAGCCCCAAUGGCGGAGUAGCACACCAACCAGUCUUAAAAGAAUCCUAUAUACCUAAGAGAAUCAUCCCCACUAUCCUAUUUAUCUUGACAUGCAACGUAUCUACAUCAUCAAGUAGGUCCACCAUCUAAAAACUCUUUCCCACUAACUUUUCAUGCACAUACUCCCACUAACUCUUCAAGCACAUGCUAACCAUUAAUUAUUUUUUUGUGCACUCUCAAGCAGCCACGUCAUUCUAGGUUUCUCUUGCUAUCCAACAGCAGGCCUCAUGAUUUAUAAGCGACUUUUUUAUAUAGAAAAUCAAAUUAUGAGGUAACUCACAUUUUUUUCCAUGCGACCAACUUUUAUUUAUGAAUGCACAUCUGUAUUUGCUACAUUGUUUUAGGUUUAGUCAAGGGUGGAGAUGUCUCCACUAUCUCUACUCAAAGUUGUAUUGUCAAUAAAUUAACAGAACAAAACUCACACUCAUUUUUUUGUCUAAUAUUCUUAGAUGCCCUAAACAAUACAUCUUUCAAAAAAAUUGUCAUCAAAUUAUACUAUGUUUCAUAAAUUUUCUCAUGUUUUAAAACAUCGUCAAAUUAUUUAUUAACAGUUCACGCAGCAACGCGCGAGACAUCAUCUAGUUCCAAUACAAUUCCUCCCGACCAAAGGGGGAAGCAGGAUAAUAAUAGGUCGUUGAGAUUUCCGCCGCGCUCAACACGCUUGGGGGCGGGGGCUGGGGUGAAUGGGGGCAGCUGCUCUCGUGAUCGGCCCAUCGGUGGUACGGCGUCAUGGCGGCGCACCCGCGCGAGGCGUUGGUGCACCGGACCCGGACCGACUCCAGCAUGCGCUCCACCGUGAAGCAGCGACUAUACUCCGGCGACGGACCAAAAUGUGGCAUCUUGGUAACCUCGUCGUAGCAACAAAAGCAUACAAGCUUCCCAGCCGUGUCCUGCAGCAGCAAAUUGAAACGAAACGAAUUCGGGUGAAGAUGCCGAUCGAUCAGUCGAUGUUGGAUUUUCUUUCAGCGAUACGCACGGCACGAACCUGGUAGACUGGAGGCUUGAGGGGUUGCGAGCAUCUGGGGCAGUUGAAAGCUACCAGAUCCAUGGUCGCGUUGCUGGCCUCCUCCUUCCCCGGCACCCGCCUGGUCAUCUUGGACUUGGAGAUCUUCCGUUUUUAGUCUAGCUUUUGCUUGGCAGUUGGCACUGGAGCUGAACGUUUGGGUCGCUAGAGUACCCAGUAGUAUAUAUACUCCUGGUCGCGUGGUAGUCCAAGAAGCCAAGGAGAAUUCUAGUCUUUCGACUUCCACUCGACCCCACUUCCCCAUGCACUAAUUCCAAGCAAAAAGUAAUGGCUGUAGCGAGAAGCAAGGAGGCGGCUGCGCAGGACUUAAUAAGCCCUUUCACCCGUACCUUUCCGGUUCACAUCACAAUAUUCGUUGUCAAUUUGAAAAAUGUAUGUUGUGUAUUGCAAAAGUUGAUCGUGUACUUAAAAAAGAGGCAAAUACACCACCGGUAAUACUUGAACUAAAAGAUCCGACCAACUUCAAGGUUAUUCAUGCCAACUUCAAGCACCAGUGAUGUAUUUACCUCUCUAAAAAAAACAGUGUACAUUGAUAUUAUUCAUGUAUAAAAUUAUAUUUGUAAAUUAAAAACAGAAACUAGAAAAGAGAAAGGGAAAUCCCAAAACCAAUUGAAAUGGAUGCAACAAAUAUAACGUCGUUACCACGCAACAAAUAUAGAAAAUUCAUGCAUGAUUUCCGUACUCAAAUUGGUUAAUGCACAACUUAUGACAAUUUGAGUUACUUUUGAGCAAGUUAGGUGCAAGUCGGUGUUAUUUUGGGGGCUGGAUUGUACAUUCUUAUCCCAAAUGCAUAUCAAACCAAGAAGAAACUUGGAUGCACAAAUUUGUGUACUAUGCAAACCGCAUAUAAAACAGAUAAAAGAAUUAACCACACUUUAUGCAAGUUGAGAUGUCCAGAUGAUGUGUCGGUACUAAAAGCAAAUUAAGCAUUAUGAUGAUAGCUGACGGUUGAAACCACAAAUGUGAAAAACAUAUGGCCACAAAAGAACGAACAAAUGAUCAAUGUUAACGAGUCAAGGAAAAAAACACCUAAAAUUUUUAUAUAUUUUGGAAUUAUCAAUUUCACACAUUGAUAAUUAUUACUUCUAUUUAUUUAUACCUAAAACAGACACUCAUGCACUCUAGAAACCUCUGCUAACUUAGAGAUCUUUACCAUGUUAUUUAAAGACACCGGGACACCAGCAAAUAGAUACGUCUGUAGUUGAUCUAAGUGGCACAAAUUAAUCUACGAAGACAAUAUGAUUUUACCUUUUAUUUAUUAAUAUCUAAUCAGCGGGAAGUUGGUAUAUAUAGCUAAGUGUUUUGAAGGGCAUGUGCAUUGAGAAGGAAACAACACAACUUUUUCACACAACAUAUGUCUUAUAUUUAGUACAAGUUUAUUUUGCAUAUAAUGUCAACAUUGUGUCAUAAUAUUUAAUACUAUUAUUAUGUAUUAUUUUGUAUAUAGUAAAAAUUAAGUUAUAUUAAUGUCGAGUAUAAAUAAGUAACUUUUUUACUAUAAAUAGAUGUUAUACUAUAACAAAUUACUAUAUACAAAAGUACUAUGUAUAAAACUUCGAGCAAUACUUGUGUUAACACAGAAAAACUCCGACAUGUAGACAAACACAAAAAUUGCACGUUAGAAAGUAAAUCCUUGAGAUAUACAUUGAAAGAUUGUAUACUCAUCCAUCCCUGCUUUCAGCACACAGUUAGUUCAAAAAUAAAUACAGACUACAUAUCAAACAUGCUAAUUAAGCACAGAAAAAUAAGCAUUCAAUUAAUCAUAAAUUCCUACUUUUACGUGCCUAGACCAUCCCCUUAGUUAAACCCACAUUAGUGUUUAUUCUUUUUUUCCUCUUAUUCUUUUUUUUCCUAAACCCUGGCUCUGAUGCCAAUAAAAUUGUCACGCCCCAAGUGAGUCUUAGCCGUGACAAUCGCCACAUGCUUAUAAAUCUGAUUUAUAAGCAUGUUAGGCUAGUAAACAAAUUAUUUUCUAAUAUGCAGAAGAGCCAACUUUAUUCAUUACUAGCUAUUACAAAGGUUAUGAUACAUGCAACUCCUUUAUUUAUUCCCAACCCGUAGAGCUACUCCUACUGUUCAUCAUUCUCAUCAGCACAUCCAUCAUUUGCUACUUCUGCAAAAUCAACAACAAUAGCAAGAAUGAGUAUGAUCUCAUACUCAGCAAGCACACGGAUACAAAGGAACUUCUCUCGGCAAAAGUGACAAAACACAAGGGCUAGUUGUAAAAAAAAGAGUUUGAUGGCACAGGAAGAUAAUGGAGAUUAAUUUAAAGAAAAGAAAAGAAAUAACUGGCAUCACAUAUGACCGCAAACUUCCCAACCCGGGAGUCACAGGGGUGAAAUUUCACACUUUUAUGCUCUUAAGAGGGGUACUCUGACGUCGACAGCCUCGACUAGAACCACACAGGCGCUAGUAGAGCAGAGCUCUUUAUUCCCCCAAGAACCGACCACUCGACUUACUAGUGUCGAUCGCUCCUACGGAUCCAUCAUCGACACGCUUCCGAACGAGUGGCGUUCUUAGCGGAGAACUCAGACAGUCCCAUACCUGAACUGUGACCGGUACAAUACGUCUGCCGUCGUGAUACCAUAUUUUUAUAAAAUUUACUAGACAAAGAUUAGCAAGAGGAAAUACAUGCAAGACCAAGAUAAAUAUCUCUAGGCUUUUCACAGAACCAACCAUCCAUGCAUGAGCCAUUAAUCCAUGUGCUCACAUGCAUGUACCAAUGAUUUCUCCACCGUGAUCAUAAACCAAAAAGGUAGUACUGUGGUAUGCAUGCUAGCUUCAAGAGAUGUACAGGAAUCAAAUCAUACGAACAGUGCACAUUAUAGAGCUUGAGAAGUACUACUAGAUGUAGAGCAUGGCAUGAAUAGUGAGACAAACAAGGAAUAGGACAGCUAGAAAGGCUAGAUGGAACGCAUGCUUGCCUGACUCGCUGGCUCGCUGCUUCCUCCGAGCGCUCUUGCCGAUCAGUGUGAUUCUACUCCAUGCAAAGCUAGCUAGUGCACUGGUUUGUAUGUUGGGAUGAGUACUACAGCGUGCUCUUGCCCAUCUAUUUAUAGGCAUGGUAGGGUAGGGAAUGGAGCUGGAUAAGUGUAACUCAGCAGCCUCGGUGUCUCUAGUUUUACAGCUGUUUGUACUUUUACAUUACACGUGCCUAGCUGACUCCAACAGAGCAUUAAAUGCUACAGAUAAGUGCAAACUUGAGCUGCUAAAUAUCUUGUACCACACCCACACAUGGCCCUCCUACUCGAAGGCUCUACAAGCAUGUUCUUGUAAUGCAUAUCCUUCCACACUAAGGAAUUAAGUUGACUACUCUUACUUGGUACUAACCAAUGAUUGCCAAUGAUUGAUUUUAUCUAAUUAAGCUUAUAAUUACUACUCCAACAUUCUGCUAAUUUUGUUAAUUUACCAAAAUACAAGAUCUUAUUUAUACUAAUAAACACGGGUAUUACAUGUUACAUGUGACUGUUCUGGCCAAGUUUAGUCUAAAUCUAACUGAUGUCGCUUCUGCAGUGAAAGCACUGAAACAGAAGCUCAUCUUCUCAUUGGCUGCCGCUAUAAACUUCCCAUUAUGAUCACAUAUAAUAGCACCGACAGUCCCUUCUAGUUGAUUCUUAUCGAAGCCGGCAUCAACAUUCAAUUUUAUAUAACCUGUCCUGGGUUUCAUCCAAGCAAUUUUGCGUAUUUUUGCUUUUGGACCGCAUGCGAUAACAAAGUUUGCGGUCAACCCUAUGAUCGCUAGGUGGAUUUACGCCGCACUUUGUGUUUGUUCACCGUGGGUAAGUUUACUUUGUCCAUACGACAAAUCGACAAGUACCAAGCAGCAGUCACCAUGGUUUCUCGCAAGUUUUGCAGACCUAGGACAUGCACGUCGUGUUCUUUGAGACACAACAAAAGCUCCAAAAUUGUUUCUCCCGCUAGAUAUGUUCUGCAUGUUUUUUUUUUAAUAAUAUCAUGAAUCCCUAGAAAUUUCCACACUGUCGCAACCUUGUGGCACUCAAAGAGCAGGUGCUUCAAGCUAUCAGGACCAACAUUGCAAGCUGGGCAAGUACCUUUACCUUCAAGUGUUUUGCAGCUAAACACCCCUGUGCGUCAACUUUUUUUUUUGAGAAACCCUUGUGCGUCAGCUAGGGGUGCCUUCGCUAAAAAAACAAAUGGGCUGGCCCACUUUGCCAUGGGAGCUGCUUUUUAUUUGAAUUUCUUGUUGUUUUUUCAAAAAAAAAACUGUUUAUAUUUCUUUGCAGCUGGAUAUAUUUUUAUAACAAUAGAAAAAAUGUACUCCCUCUGAAAACUAAUAUAAGACGAGCAUUUAUAUCACCAAGAUAGUGAUUUAAACACUCUUAUAUUAGUUUACGGAUGGAGUAAAAAAAUGGUAGUGUUAUAUAAAAAAGUUCAGUAUAUAUAAAAAUAAAGUUCACCCUAUAUUAAUAAAAUAGUGUGUAUUUAAAAGUUUUCCAUUGUAUAAUAAAACCCCAUAUAUAUACAAUGUGUAUUAGGAUAAUAGUUCAGUGUGUAUUGUAAAAAAAUCACCAUAUAUUGCAAAACCUAUAUAAAAGGAGAAAUGUGCAAAAAUAAUAAAGAAUAGAAGAAACCCAAGAUCUGAAAAUGAGAAACAUAAAAAAUAAAAGGAAAAAACCAAAACAAAAAAUGACACACACAAAACAAUGGAAAAAGGAAACAACCGAAAAAAUCGGCGAAAAAGGCGUGCCUGUCUGGAGGCUGGUUUAGCGAAAUCUUGAUUAUAUGCCGCCUGCGGGCGGCAUAUAGGACUGGCUGUUGUGUGCCUCAUUAAUGUUGGGAUGGCUUACUGUGAAUUCAGGAUUAGGAGGUAGUCUUGAACCUAGCUAGUAGACUGCACAACCGCAUGCCUAAACAAUUGAGCCGAGGUUGCAUAUUUUGUCUAGUUAUUAAGCUUCGACAAACAACUAGAUGCAUGUAGUUGAGCUAUAUAGAGCUUUUGAAACUGAACUUUGUUAAUUCGUUUGAGUUGAGUUGGGUCCAAAGUAUGCUCUAGGGUGUGAUUGUCGCCUUCUUUUCAAGCGACCCCUUCCUCUUCAUGUCUUUGCUGGUCCUUGCAGCGCCACCCUCCUCUUUCUCUUCCCACCAACUCCUCGCAUGACCGCCGUGUAAAUUUAGUUCAAACAUUCUGGUUUUCUCGGGGGAAAAGCUAUUUAAAUGCAAGAAACUAAAGUAAAAAAAGGUAAAGUCAUAGAACUUGCACGCGACGGUUAGUUUGGUGCAUAAACUUUUAAAAUACGUGUUUUUGGUCAUCUAACUUGUCCUUCCGUUCAUAUACGGUGCUUUCUACCGUAUUUCGGCCAUAUCAUGUGCACACAUGGCGUGCCAACAUGGUAGGGGCCCACUGUCAGUGGCUGCGGCGGUGGGUAAUCCGCGUCCACUGUUUUUUUUUCAGAAAUCACGCCUGCAUUUCAUUUAUUUAUGCAGAAAAACCUCAAAAAAAUGAAAAAUGCUGGAGCAGCAAUAGUAUUCGAACAUACGGCCUGCUACAAUUCGCCUCACUUAGAUAGCCACUUGACCUCCUUACAGUUGACGUUAAGCACAAAUAGCUUUAUAUAAGACAGACUGGUCGAGUUAAAGUAGAAACCAAAACGAGAAAGGGGAAGGCACCGGUUCGAACCUAUGACCACAUGAGCUCGCCGCUUGUGCGAGCGGCAACCAUCCGGCCACUACGAGUUUUUUUUCAAGAAAAAACUAUCAGCCACAAUGACAUUUAAAUAGAUAAACACAAUUUAUCUUAUUUAUGCUUCAUUCUUUUUCCUAUUUAAGAAAAUUAUUUUAUAUUCUAUAUAAACUUUUCGGAGAAAUCAACUAGAUUUUUGUUUCAAUUCGACUAAUUUUAUAUUAAAAAAUCGAGAUAAAAUGAAAUAUAGUGCAGAAUGAGUGUACGUAUUUUUUUUGGACAAAUCAACUACUCACUCCGUUCCAAAAUAUAGUGCGCCCGCGCUUCCCGAGGUCCAACUUUGACCAUAAAUUUAGCCAACGAGACCGAUUGCAGCGUGAGAAAAAGUUAUAUAAUUGAAAACUUCUGUUGAAUAGGAAUUCACUGGUAUAACUUUUGCUCCCGCCGCAAUCGGUCUUGUUUGUUAAAUUUUUGGUCAAAGUUGAAGCACGGGGAUAGAGGAAGCACUAUAUUUUGAAAUGGAGGGAGUAGAUUUUUUGUUGAAUUUGAAUAAUCCUGAUAAAGGAAAAUAUAGUUCAAAAUGAAUAUACUUCUUUCGGACAAAUCAACGGAAUUUAUUAUGAUCGAAAAUCUAGAUAAAAUAAAUUAUAUGUAAAAUAGAAUGUACAUAUUUUUUUUGGAGAAAACAACUAUUUUUUUUGAAUUUAAAUAAUUUAAAAUUAAAAAAUAUGGAUAAAAGGAAAUAUAGUGUACAAUGAAUGUAUGCAUAUUUUGGGGACAAAUCAAUAAAAUUUUGUUUGAAUUCGAAUAAUUUUAAAUUUUAAAAUCUAUAUAAAAGAAAGUAUGGCUUAGAAUGAAUGUAAGUAAUUUUUUCAGACAAAUCAACUGAUUUUUGUUUGAAUCUGGAUAAUCUAUAUAAAAGAAAUAUAGUUCAUAAUGAAUGUACAUAAAUUUCUUUCGAACAAAUCAACGGAAAUUUUGUUUGAAUUCAAAUAAUUUUAGAUUAGAAAAUCUAGAUAAAAAAUAUAUGUCAGAAUGAAUGUAUGUAAAAAAAUCCGGAAAAAUCAAAUAAAUUUUUGUUUGAAUUCGAAUAAUUUCAAUAAAAAAAUAUAGUGCAGAAUGAAUGUAUGUAAUUUCGUUUCCAACAAAUCAGCAGAAAUUUUGUUUGACUCCGAAUAAUUUUAAAUUUGAAAAUCUAGAGAAAAGAAAAUAUAUUCAGAAUAUAUAUUUUAUCCUAGAGGUGAUAUACCUUAGGGUGUGUUCGGUUGAUGUCACCAGCUGGAAUUUGCAACAUUUUGAUGGCUGGGCAGAUUGUAUCUUAUAUAUGUUUAAAUCAUGUGUUUGUGAUGAUUUCAUCCAUUUUAUUGCAACAUUUUGAUGGCUGGGCAGAUUGUAUCUUAUAUAUGUUUAAAUCAUGUGUUUGUGAUGAUUUCAUCCAUUUUAUUACAACAUUUUGAUGGCUGGGCAGAUUGUAUCUUUUUUAUGUUUAAAUCAUGUGUUUGUGAUGAUUUCAUCUAUUUUAUUGCAACAUUUUGAUGGCUGGGCAGAUUUUACCUUAUAAAUUUAGAUGCUUUAAUCCAUUCUUUUGCAAUUUUUUGAUGGCUGAACAGAAAUGGACAAUGUUGAAGUUACCGCUGCAUCAUGGUAUGGACCACUUCCAUGACCAACACUAUGCUAGAUUUUUUUGGCUGACCUUGUUGCUAAAGGGAAGAGAACUUCUAGUGGAUUCAGGGAGACACAUCUCAAACAAUGCGCUGCUGUUUUGAAUGAGAAAUUCAAGCUAGCUAUCACCUCUGAUCAAGUUAGAAACCAUCUCAAGAAGUGGAGGAAGAUUUGGGUCAGGGUUGUCAAUUUGAAGAAUUUAAGUGGAGCUCUAUGGGAUGAAGAUACUUGCACAAUUAGGCUCAGCGAAGAACACUAUGCAGGUCACUGUAUGGUAAGCUUCUUGUACUAUGAACAAUAUCAUCCCAUUUUCUGCCUUCAUUAUGCUAAUGACUUGCUAAUUUUUUGUAGACCCACAAACCUGAUGCUCCCUUCUUGAAUAACCCAAUUGAACACUAUCAUGCCAUGGCGACCAUUUUUGGAACAACCGGGGCUAAGGGGAUGAAUGCAAGGUUUGGAAAUGAUCUCCUUUCUAUUGACGUUGAUGAUGAGGAGAAUGGUGAGGUGAAUGGCGAGAUCAACACGUCACCGCAAGUUGGUGAGUCUUCUCACCCCAAAGGACCACCAAAAAAGAUGGCCCAGGUGCUGAAAGUUCUAGAGGAUCCACUAGGUGCCAUUCUCAAAGAUGGUUUUAAACUUGUGGCUGAAGCUCUUGUGAAAUCUGGUGGAGAUGAUGAUGAUAUACCCGAUGACCUUUGGGAUGUAGUCUCUAGUUUGAAAGAAUUUGAUGAAGAGCACCUUGCCCACUACUAUGCUCAUCUUGUUGACAACCCCAAGACGGCAAGAGCCUUCAUGAAACUUUCUGAAACCAACAAAUAUGUUUGGGUGAGUAGGUAUGUGAAGAACUUCUAAAUUCGAUAUGGUUGUAUGGUUGUCAAGUAUGUGAACUUGACUUGUAUGGCUGUAGUGCCAUUGGGUUGCUUUAGGAUAUUUGGAAUGUGAACAUGUAUGGUUGUAUGUGAGAGACAUGUAUUGGCCGAUUGCUUUUGGAUGUGCCAAAUGAACUUGCUACCUGAUUGCUACCUUAUGAUAUUAUUGCUGAAAAUUGUGUUCUAUGUCAAUAUAUAUUAUUAUGUUGUUUUUCUUGAAAAUACAAAUGAAAUGCUGCCGAAUUUUUGAAUUUCUGUUAUUCCAUUUUUCAUUCCAUUCUUCCAAACCAAACACUGGAACAGAACCAACCCGUUCUACUUUUUUGCACCUACCAAACACAGGAACGGAACCGACCCAUUCUUCUGGAAUGGAACCAUUCCACUCCGUGACAGUUGGUUCCUCAACCAAACACACCCUUAGUUGUCCAAAUGAAACAGCGAGCACGAUCAGUUGCGUUGGUUAGGUCGCCAGCGACAUUCCGCGAGGUCGCUGAUUAGAACUGGCUCCGGCCGAUUUUUUCCUGCCCAAUAUAUGUACAACAUACACUGACGGGUGGACCCAAGUACAUCUAUUGCUGGAGUGCUUUUGUACAAAGUAAAAAAUACCGUUGGCGUUUCUGCAAAAAAAACAUCACGUGCACUAGCCACAGACAAUGUGCCCUGGCCACGUAGGCGGCGAAUACACUCAUGUAUGGGAAGUGUGACCGUAUUUGCACGCCCGCGCAAGUUUCAUGACUAAAAACACGUAUUUUGCAAGUUUGUGCACCAAACUGCCCGGCACGUGCAAGUUCUAAGACUCCUAGUGUAUUUACCUCUAAAAAAAGUUGUCUAGGAGUUCCUCGGGAGUUCAGUAAAAUUUCAAAACAAAUAGUUGAAAGUUCUCUACAAAUUAGCUAGAAGCCGUGAUUUUUUAGCAAAUUCGUAGAUGCCAGUUCAAAAGUACUACUCCCUCCGUCCUAAAAUUCGUGUCUUAGAUUUGUCUUGAUACGGAUGUAUCUAAUACUAAAACGUAUUUAGAUAAGGGGUCCGACUAUGCCACAUCUAGAUGUGAGAUAAUACCUCACAUCUAACUAUGACAUCAUUCCAUAUUAGCAAAUAAAAUACAGCCCCAUCAUUGUAUUGUUUGUUUUGUUUUGUCGCUGUUUUUGUUUUUUCAUCCACCGCACCCCGCCAGAACAGCGGGAGCUUCUUCGACUAGGCCGGCCUAGUGUCAAACUGACAACGAGCAGUGCAAAACUCCCCAGAAAAGAGAAAAUAUAUAUUGUGGCAUGCGCAGCUGAUCCAUCCCGUGCUACAGGGCAACAACAUUGUUCAUUACAGAGCGCUACAGCACCAUGCUUUUUGGUUAGUGCGGGAGCUACGACCAGCCCGAUGGCAAUACUACUUUUCUAUUUGCACCCGGACAACCCACUCUGUCUCAAGAAGAAUGUCCUUAAUAAUUAUCCGACAAUUGUUGUUCUUUUUGCAUGUAACGGUAAGAUAUGUCACAUAAGCAUGAUAACUUGACACAAGUAAGUUGUUAAUAACAUGAUAAGUAGUUAUAGUGAUAAAAUAGUAGCGCAUACUUUAAAGUCAUGGUAGCGCGUAACUAGACAUUACUGAAAAUCUCCAAAGAAUUUUUCAAGUUUUGAACACUUUUUCAAAAUUACGAACACUUCUGUUAAAUGUCAGCAAUUUAAAAACAAUUCUAAGCAUUGUUGAAAGCUGUGAAGAAAUUUUAAAAAUUCCCCAAAGAAAACUUGAAUUUGUAAAAAAAAAUUGAAAAUGUGAACGUCUUUUGAAAUUCAGAGCAAUGUUCGAAAACUAAUAAAAAUUCUAGAAUAUUGUUUUUAAAUGUGAACUUUUUUUAAAUGGUGAACACAUGUUAGAAAACACGUUUUUUUUUAAUUCCAGAACAUUUUUCAAAUUUGUGAAGAAACUAGCCUUAUAUACAAAAGGAUCAGACUCAAAAUGGUGUAAAUCAUUUGUAUGCAACUAUGAGAUUUCAAAGAAAGGUGGGGAACUAGCUCAAUGCGCUAGGAACCAAAAAUCAUAUAAAUUGUGGGGGGGUUUUCCAAAAAAAAUGAAAACUUGGGUCCCUCUGACUCUAUUGCGUAUCUUUCAAAAACCAAAAUGGGUCAAAGAUGGGGUUGCAACUGGGACAUUUGAAAAAUGGGUAGGCCCAAGAAAGAAAAAAUAAAUAAUAAACAAUGUUUAGCAGCUAAAAAGAGCCAAAAAAGGUGGACAUGUCAUUGUUGGGGCUCACAUUUUGUGUAUUUAAGAUGGAAUUGUAUCUCGCAUAAAAAUUGGUCGCUCACGCCAGUUAAAGGUUGAUGUGAACUUGUAAUUGCAACAAAAAAAACUUUAAGCCCAAUUGCAAGUCGGUGGUGGACUUGUAAUUGGGCGAAGAACAAAAAGGAUGAACUACUCGCAAAAACGAGGGUGAGCUUGUACUAAGGCAACAAAAAAAGGUCAAAAAUGUCCCGAUUGCAAGUAGAGGGUGGCAUAGCAACUAGGAGAGGAGAACAAAAAAAGGGGAGGUGCUAGUUGUAAGCUGUGGGCGCACUUGCAAACUUAGGCAAUAACAAAAAUUCGGUACCAUUUGCGAGUCAAGAAUAUGAGCCCAGUUGCGAGUCAAGAAUGGACUUGCAACUCAGAAAACUACAAAAAAACUAUGAUACUAGUUGCGAGUCGAGAGUGGACUUGCAACUAGGACAAAUACGACCCUAAUUGCGAGUCAAGGGCGGACUUAAAACUAGGAUGAAAAACAAACUACAGUCCCAGUUGCGAGUCGAGGACGAACUUGCAAUUGGGAUGAAAAACAAAGUAUGAGGCUAGUUGCAAGUCGAGAGUGGACUUGAAACUAGGCCAACUACACAAAACUACGAUACUAGUUGCGAGUCAAGGGUGGACUUGCAACUGGGACAAAUACGAAACCACAUGCCUAGUUGCGUGCUAAGGGUGGACUUGCAACUGAGAUGACACAAACUAUAAUCCUAGACAAAAACCGUUUGUGAGUCGAGGCGGACUUGCAACUGGGAUAAUCAUACGUGUCGGUCAUCAACACCCGCAGUUUUGGCCGAUUCUGGCCUGUUUCGUGGACUAUUACUCAUUGUUUUGGUGUUCCGGACUGAUUUCCACGAUUGAUAAACCCAGGGGUGCGUUUACGUGUCGGUCAUAAAUACUCGCAGUUUUGGCCGAUUCUGACCAGUUUCGUGGACUAUUACUCACUGUUUUGGGGUCCCGGAGUGAUUUCAAUGAUUGACGAACCCCGGGAUGCGUUUACGUGUCGGUCAUCAACACUCGCAGUUUUGGCCGAUUCUGGCCUGUUUCAUNNNNNNNNNNNNNNNNNNNNNNNNNNNNNNNNNNNNNNNNNNNNNNNNNNNNNNNNNNNNNNNNNNNNNNNNNNNNNNNNNNNNNNNNNNNNNNNNNNNNNNNNNNNNNNNNNNNNNNNNNNNNNNNNNNNNNNNNNNNNNNNNNNNNNNNNNNNNNNNNNNNNNNNNNNNNNNNNNNNNNNNNNNNNNNNNNNNNNNNNNNNNNNNNNNNNNNNNNNNNNNNNNNNNNNNNNNNNNNNNNNNNNNNNNNNNNNNNNNNNNNNNNNNNNNNNNNNNNNNNNNNNNNNNNNNNNNNNNNNNNNNNNNNNNNNNNNNNNNNNNNNNNNNNNNNNNNNNNNNNNNNNNNNNNNNNNNNNNNNNNNNNNNNNNNNNNNNNNNNNNNNNNNNNNNNNNNNNNNNNNNNNNNNNNNNNNNNNNNNNNNNNNNNNNNNNNNNNNNNNNNNNNNNNNNNNNNNNNNNNNNNNNNNNNNNNNNNNNNNNNNNNNNNNNNNGGUGUCCCGGACUGAUUUCCACGAUUAACGAACCCUGGGGUGCGUUUAUGUGUCGGUCAUCAACACCCGCAGUUUUGGCCGGUUCUGACCCGUUUCGUGGACUAUUACUUACUGUUUUGGGUUCCUGGAGUGAUUUCCCCAAUUGACGAACCCUGGGGUGCGUUUACGUGUCGGUCAUCAACACCCGCAGUUUUGGCCGAUUCUGGCGUGUUUCGUGGACUAUUACUCAUUGUUUUGGUGUCCCGGGCUGAUUUCCACGAUUGAUGAACCCUGGGGUGCGUUUACGUGUCGGUCAUAAAUACUCGCAGUUUUGGCCGAUUCUGGCCAGUUUCGUGGACUAUUACUCACUGUUUUGGGGUCCCGGAGUGAUUUCAACGAUUGACGUGUUGGGGAUCGUAGCAGAAUUUUAAAAAUUUCCUACGCAUCACCAAGAUCCAUCUAUGGAGUAUACUAGCAACGAGGGGAAAGGAGUGCAUCUACAUACCCUUGUAGAUCGCGAGCGGAAGCGUUCCAAUGAACGGGGUUGAUGGAGUCGUACUCGCCGUGAUCCAAAUCACCGAUGACCGAGUGCCGAACGGACGGCACCUCCGCGUUCAACACACGUACGGAGCAGCGACGUCUCCUCCUUCUUGAUCCAGCAAGGGGGAAGGAGAGGUUGAUGGAGAUCCAGCAGCACGACGGUGUGGUGGUGGAAGUAGCGGGGAUCUCGGCAGGGCUUCGCCAAGCUUCUACGAGAGGGAGAGGUGUUGCAGGGGGAGAGGGAGGCGCCAGGGGCUGUGGUUCUGCUUCCCUCCCUUCCCCCACUAUAUAUAGGCCCCCUGGGGGGGCGCCGGCCCUGGGAGANNNNNNNNNNNNNNNNNNNNNNNNNNNNNNNNNNNNNNNNNNNNNNNNNNNNNNNNNNNNNNNNNNNNNNNNNNNNNNNNNNNNNNNNNNNNNNNNNNNNNGGCGGCCAAGGGGGAAGGGGGGUGGCUUCCCCCCCAAGCCAAGUGGGGCGCCCCCACCCCCAGGGUUUCCAACCCUAGGCGCAGGGGGAGGCCCAUGGGGGGCGCCCCAGCCCACUAAGGGCUGGUUCCCUUCCCACUUCAGCCCAUGGGGCUCUCCGGGAUAGGUGGCCCCACCCGGUGGACCCCCGGGACCCUUCCGGUGGUCCCGGUACAAUACCGAUAACCCCCGAAACCUUCCCGAUGGCCGAAACUGGACUUCCUAUAUAUAAUUCUUCACCUCCGGACCAUUCCGGAACUCCUCGUGACGUCCGGGAUCUCAUCCGGGACUCCGAACAACUUUCGGGUUUCCGCAUACUAAUAUCUCUACAACCCUAGCGUCACCAAACCUUAAGUGUGUAGACCCUACGGGUUCGGGAGACAUGCAGACAUGACCGAGACGCCUCUCCGGUCAAUAACCAACAGCGGGAUCUGGAUACCCAUGUUGGCUCCCACAUGUUCCACGAUGAUCUCAUCGGAUGAAUCACGAUGUCGAGGAUUCAAUCAAUCCCAUAUACAAUUCCCUUUGUCAAUUGGUACUUUACUUGCCCGAGAUUCGAUCGUCGGUAUCCCAAUACCUUGUUCAAUCUCGUUACCGGCAAGUCACUUUACUCGUACCGUAAUGCAUGAUCCCGUGGCUAACUCCUUAGUCACAUUGAGCUCAUUAUGAUGAUGCAUUACCGAGUGGGCCCAGAGAUACCUCUCUGUCAUACGGAGUGACAAAUCCCAGUCUCGAUCCGUGUCAACCCAACAGACACUUUCAGAGAUACCCGUAGUGUACCUUUAUAGUCACCCAGUUACGUUGUGACGUUUGGUACACCCAAAGCACUCCUACGGUAUCCGGGAGUUACACGAUCUCAUGGUCUAUGGAAAAGAUACUUGACAUUGGAAAAGCUCUAGCAAACGAACUACACGAUCUUUUAUGCUAUGCUUAGGAUUGGGUCUUGUCCAUCACAUCAUUCUCCUAAUGAUGUGAUCCCGUUAUCAAUGACAUCCAAUGUCCAUAGUCAGGAAACCACGACUAUCUGUUGAUCAACGAGCUAGUCAACUAGAGGCUUACUAGGGACACGUUGUGGCCUAUGUAUUCACACAUGUAUUACGAUUUCCGGAUAACACAAUUAUAGCAUGAACAAUAGACAAUUAUCAUGAACAAAGAAAUAUAAUAAUAACCAUUUAUUAUUGCCUCUAGGGCAUAUUUCCAACAGUCUCCCACUUGCACUAGAGUCAAUAAUCUAGUUACAUUGUGAUGAAUCGAACACCCAUAGCGUUCUGCUGUUGAUCAUGUUUUGCUCUAGGGAGAGGUUUAGUCAACGGAUCUGUUACAUUCAGGUCCGUAUGUACUUUACAAAUAUCUAUGUCUCCAUUUUGAACACUUUCACGAAUGGAGUUGAAGCGACGCUUGAUAUGCCUGGUCUUCCUGUGAAAUCUGGGCUCCUUCGCAAGGGCAAUAGCUCCAGUGUUGUCACAGAAGAGAGUCAUCGGGCCCGACGCAUUGGGAAUCACCCCUAGGUCGCUAAUGAACUCCUUCAUCCAGAUUGCUUCUUGCGCUGCCUCUGAGGCUGCCAUGUACUCCGCUUCACAUGUAGAUCCCGCCACGACGCUUUGCUUGCAACUGCACCAGCUUACUGCCCCUCCAUUCAAAAUAUACACGUAUCCGGUUUGUGACUUCGAGUCAUCCAGAUCUAUGUCGAAGCUAGCGUCGACGUAACCCUUUACGACGAGCUCUUCGUCACCUCCAUAAACGAGAAACAUAUCCUUAGUCCUCUUCAGGUACUUCAGGAUAUUCUUGACCGCUGUCCAGUGUUCCAUGCCGGGAUUACUUUGGUACCUUCCUACCAAACUUACGGCAAGGUUUACAUCAGGUCUGGUACACAGCAUGGCAUACAUAAUAGACCCUAUGGCCGAGGCAUAGGGGAUGACACUCAUCUUUUCUCUAUCUUCUGCCGUGGUCGGGCAUUGAGCCGCGCUCAAUUGCACACCUUGCAAUACAGGCAAGAACCCCUUCUUGGACUGAUCCAUAUUGAACUUCUUCAAUAUCUUGUCAAGGUACGUACUCUGUGAAAGACCAAUGAGGCGUCUUGAUCUAUCUCUAUAGAUCUUGAUGCCUAAUAUAUAAGCAGCUUCUCCAAGGUCCUUCAUUGAAAAACACUUAUUCAAGUAGGCCUUUAUACUUUCCAAGAAUUCGAUAUCAUUUCCGAUCAAUAGUAUGUCAUCCACAUAUAAUAAGAGAAAUGCUACAGAGCUCCCACUCACUUUCUUGUAAACACAGGCUUCUCCAUAAGUCUGUGUAAACCCAAACGCUUUGAUCAUCUCAUCAAAACGAAUGUUCCAACUCCGAGAUGCUUGCACGAGUCCAUAGAUGGAGCGCUGGAGCUUGCAUACCUUAUUAGCAUUCUUAGGAUCGACAAAACCUUCCGGCUGCAUCAUAUACAAUUCUUCCUUAAGAAAACCGUCAAGGAAUGCCGUUUUAACGUCCAUUUGCCAUAUCUCAUAAUCAUAGAAUGCGGCAAUUGCUAACAUGAUUCAGACGGACUUCAGCUUCGCUACGGGUGAGAAAGUCUCAUCGUAGUCAACCCCUUGAACUUGUCGAUAACCCUUAGCGACAAGUCGAGCCUUACACUACCGGAAUCAGCUAAUUUGCCAUCUGCCAGCUCUUUGCCGUCUGCUAGCUGACGGCAAAGAAGCUCUUUGCCAUCAGCUACCCAAAAGCAGACGACAAAACAGGUCUUUGCCAUCUGCGAGCUCUUUGCCGUCUGCUAGCAGACGGCAAAGAAUCUUUGCCGUCCGCUGGCAGACGGCAAAGAGAGAGGUGGCCCCCAUCCCCCGCCCGUUUGGAAAAAACUUAACGCCCCACCUCUUUGCCGUCUGCUAGCGGACGGCAAAGAGACAAAAAGGCGGACGGCAAAGAGGAGAGUACCUAACGGCCCGUACCCCCCCGCCCGUUACUCUUUGUUCUCUCCCUCUCUCUCCUCCCCGACGUGCCCCGCCACCACAUCCCACCCCACCGCCGCCGCCGUCGCCCCGCCACCCGGCGCCGCCCCGUCGCCCCCUCCGCCCCGUCGCCCCCCACCUCUCNNNNNNNNNNNNNNNNNNNNNNNNNNNNNNNNNNNNNNNNNNNNNNNNNNNNNNNNNNNNNNNNNNNNNNNNNNNNNNNNNNNNNNNNNNNNNNNNNNNNNNNNNNNNNNNNNNNNNNNNNNNNNNNNNNNNNNNNNNNNNNNNNNNNNNNNNNNNNNNNNNNNNNNNNNNNNNNNNNNNNNNNNNNNNNNNNNNNNNNNNNNNNNNNNNNNNNNNNNNNNNNNNNNNNNNNNNNNNNNNNNNNNNNNNNNNNNNNNNNNNNNNNNNNNNNNNNNNNNNNNNNNNNNNNNNNNNNNNNNNNNNNNNNNNNNNNNNNNNNNNNNNNNNNNNNNNNNNNNNNNNNNNNNNNNNNNNNNNNNNNNNNNNNNNNNNNNNNNNNNNNNNNNNNNNNNNNNNNNNNNNNNNNNNNNNNNNNNNNNNNNNNNNNNNNNNNNNNNNNNNNNNNNNNNNNNNNNNNNNNNNNNNNNNNNNNNNNNNNNNNNNNNNNNNNNNNNNNNNNNNNNNNNNNNNNNNNNNNNNNNNNNNNNNNNNNNNNNNNNNNNNNNNNNNNNNNNNNNNNNNNNNNNNNNNNNNNNNNNNNNNNNNNNNNNNNNNNNNNNNNNNNNNNNNNNNNNNNNNNNNNNNNNNNACACCCCGACCCCGACACCCUGACACCACACCCCGACCACCGACACCCUGACACCACACCCCGACCCACACCCCGACCCCGACCCCGACACCCUGGCAAGGUCAUAUAUUUGUGAAUUAUUAGUUAGGUCAUAUAUUUUUCGAUUUUGUUAUGAAAACAUCAUAUAUAAAUGUGUUGAUCGGGUAGAUUUAAAUGUGCAGUUGUUUCAUCGCUGCGAGGUUUGGUGGUCGACGACCUCGCCGUGCGUUUGACGAGCUCUGCCCCUUCGUUCGUGGGUGAGCACAAAUGACAUGUCCUCCUCCACUUGAUAGCUAGCUAUAUAUGUGUCUUGAAUCAUCAGUAUGCAUAACCAAUAUGUGUCUCCCGUUCGAAAGCGUCAUAGUUAUAAAUAUGCAUGCAUUUGCAUAUUUAUAACCUUGAUUCUUUCGAAUUGUCCAACGCUAUCCAUGGACAGCCCGAGUAUGUUUAGAUUGGGUUCGUUUUCCCAUAUGCUUUGCUCCGGAUCUGACGCAUAAGUUUCGUCAGUGCCUCCCCUGUUGUUCUCCGGGUACACAUCCUCUCUGUUUAUUGCAGAGACGUGUAUCAGGAGAACAGCGGGGAGGUGCUGCCGAAAUUUUGCGUAGGAUCCGGAGCAUAGCAUGGGAAAAUGAACCCAAUCUAAACAUACUCGGGUGGGAUUAGGACCUAUCAUUACCUAUUAGAGUGUAGGUUGCAUGGACGUAAUAAAAUUGACAAAGUAGAUCAACUGAUGAAUAUAUACAUGGUGAAUUAUAUAUAUAUAUAUUUGUUGUGUGUCUAGUAGCUCUGAAAGUCAAGAUGAGUGAUCGUGCGUGGAUGUACACCGGUCACACUGGUCAGAACAAAUGGAGCACUGAAUGGUUCACAAAAACCAAGGGGUUUGUGCGAGCCGCAUUUGCAAAUGGCCAGAGGAAAACCUGGUGCCCCUGUUUACGGUGCGGCAAUUGGGAAAAGAGGACAGAGGCUGAAAUGGGCAAACACCUGCAGAAGAGUGGUUUUACGCCCGAUUAUACGGUGUGGACAUUUCAUGGUGAGUCUGCCCAACGUGACCGAGCUGAGGUGGAUCGUCGUCGCACCGACGAGCAUGGUACCGGGAUGGAAAACAUGGUGCAAGACUUCGAUGAUGCUCGGGAUUCGGACGAGGAGGUGGAGGAAUCUGCAAAGGCCUUCAAUGAAAUGUUGGAGUCUUCAAAACGUCCGCUCCAUGAGCACACUGAGCUUUGUCAAUUGGAUUCCAUCUCACAAGUAAUGGCUCUGAAGGCUCAGUUCAACUUGGGCAGAGAAUGCUACGAUGCAAUGAUGACAGUAUUUGGACGCUUUCUACCCAAAGGCCAUGUAAUGCCUGCAAACCUGUACCAGUCGGACAAAAUCCUCCAUGCACUGAAGAUGCCCUAUGAUAAGAUACAUGCCUGUGAGAAAGGAUGUGUCUUGUUUAGGCUUGACUAUGCGGACUUGAACUAUUGUCCCAUUUGCAAGUCUUCCAGGUAUGUUGUGGUAGACAACGGCAUGGGUGAGAAGACACAGACCAAAAUCCCCGUUAGUGUUCUUCGGUAUAUGCCAAUCGUACCAAGACUUCAACGUCUUUUCAUGGUUGAAGAGACGGCCAGACAGAUGACAUGGCACAAAACGGGCAAAAGAACCGAACUAGAUGCAGAUGGGAAUCUGAUGAUUGUACACACAUCGGAUGGUGUUGCGUGGAAAAAGUUUGAUGAAUUACAUGCUGACAAAGCGGCAGAUCCGAGGCAUCCUCGAGUCGGCAUCAGCACGGAUGGGUUCAGUGUGUUUGGUAUGACGGCAGCCCAAUACAGUUGUUGGCCCGUAUUUGUCUUUCCACUAAAUCUCCCCCCCCGGACAGAUUAUGCAAAGAAAGAACAUUUUCCUGACGUUGAUAAUUCCAGGGCCCAACUAUCCGGGAAAAAUUAUGAAUGUGUACAUGCAGCCGCUUAAGGAAGAAUUGCAAGAAGCCUGGGAUAAUGGGUUCAAGACAUACGACGCCUAUAGCAAACGGAACUUCAUAAUGCGUGUCUAGUACAUGUACUCGACGCAUGACUUGCCGGCGUAUGCGCUAUUCGUUGGCUGGUGUGUGCAUGGAAGGUUCCCGUGCCCCACAUGCAAGGGAGCUCUUGAGUUUCGUUGGCUUCAGGCUGGUCGCAAGUUUUCUUGCUUCGACAUGCAUAGAUAGUUCCUGAAUCCUCGCCAUAAGUUCAGGAAAGACAAGAAAAACUUCAUCAGAGGUAGAGUUGUCAAAAACUCUGCACCACCUGCAUUGACAGGCCUACAGACCCUGGAUCAGUUAAACGCUCUCGAGCCAGAUCCAGAGCGUCCAGGGUACUUCAAGGGGUAUAAUUCUAAGCACGCUUGGACUCACAAAACAUGCGUAUGGGAUCUGCCUUACUUCAAAGACCUCCUUUGACCACACAACAUCGACGUGAUGCACACUGAGAAGAAUAUCGCCGAGGCACUUUUUGGUACAUUGUUCGGCAUAGAUGGGAAGUCAAAGGAUAAUACUAAGGCUAGAGUCGAUCUGGAGGCGCUAUGUGAUAGGCCGUUACAAAACAUGAAAGAACCGAAAGGAAAGCAGAACUGGACGAAGCCAAAGGCAUGGUUCAAUCUUGGAAGGCCAGCUAUGAGGGAAAUUAUCUUGUGGGUGAAAAUGCAGUUGAUGUUCCCCGAUGGGUAUGCAGCGAAUCUAAAGAGGGGAGCCAGUCUUGAUAAAUUGAAGAUAUUUGGUCUCAAGAGUCAUGAUUGGCACAUAUGGAUUGAGCGGGUAAUGCCGGUGAUGUUGCGUGGCUUCAUCCCUGAGGAUGAAUGGCUAGUACUGGCAGAACUCAGCUAUUUCUUCCGUGUUCUUUAUGCGAAAGAACUAUCGCCUGGCGUGCUAGAAGAAAUGGAAGAGUUGGCGCCGGAGUUGAUCUGCAAGUUAGAGAAGAUCUUUCCACCGGGCUUCUUUAAUCCAAUGCAACAUUUGAUUUUGCAUCUCCCGACCGAGGCAAGAUUGGGGGGGCCCGUGCAAAAUCGUUGGUGCUACCCAACUGAGAGGAUGCAGAAGACGCUUCAACAAAAAUGUAAAAAUAAACGUAGAAUUGAAGCAUCGAUGGCUGAGGCAUUCAUCACUGAGGAGGCGGCAAACUUCGUGACAGCACACUACGAAGCCAAAAAUCGUCAUUUGCAUAAUCCGAAGCCUCGGUACAAUGCUGACGACCCUAAAAAGGGUGGAUCCAACCUCAGCCUAUUCAAAGGGAAUCUCGCACCAGCCAGUGUUUCAAAUCCAGUAUCUUUGGAUAACGAACAAUGGCGGACCAUUUCGUUGUAUAUCUUCAACAACCUGAUAGAAGUGCGGCCGUACAUCGAGUAAGUUCUCGGUACAUUGUUUCGCAACUUCUAUUUCCUUUGAACUGCUCUUAUUCCUGGAUAUUUCAUACAGUCGAUACGUCGCCUUAUUCUCGUAUGGAGCGGUGAUCCAAAAGGAUUCUGUCGAAGAGUAUGAGCUUCUCGCAAAGCAAGGAGGCGGCUAUCCCGGUUUCAUCUCUUGGUUCAAACAAAGGUAAUUUCUAUUAGACAAUUUCAUUUCAUUCGCUAAUUUGUGCGUAAUGCAACAAUCCUUUCAUAUUAAACUUGUAGGCUAAUUCAGAGUCUAUGGACGCCGAAUUGAGAGAAGUCGCUGAUGGUUUUGACUAUAAGGUCCGUUCAUUUGACAAAUACGACAUCAACGGGUAUCGCUUUCGUACCUAUGGCAAAGAGCUAUCUAUGGCCGACGGAAAUUCUACAAAUUGUUGUGUAUCUGCUAUCGGCGAAGGAGGUACCGAGUAUUAUGGGAGAGUUGAAGCAAUUUAUGAACUUCUAUUCUAUGGUGAAAACCCACCGAAUGUCGUAGUCUUCAAAUGUUAUUGGUUUCAGCCGAAGGAGACUAGAAGGACUCAUGAACAUAUAGGGCUAGUUGAAAUCAACCAAAGCACCCAUUUAGAUGUUCCUGAUGUCUAUAUUACGGCUCAACAGGCGACCCAAGUAUUCUAUCUACCGUGGGCCUGCCAAACUAAUCCAAAUCUGAAAGGUUGGGAUGUCGUUUAUGAAGUGCCGCCACGUGCUAGACUUUCUUCUCCAAAGGAAGAGGAUUAUGAACCUCACAUUAACCCAGACACAUAUGAAGGAGAAUUCUUCCAAGAGACACGUCUUUCCAAAAAGCGUUUCAAGAACCGCUAUACUUCACCCCAAAACAUUGAAGUAGACAGCGACAGUGAAUUUGACAUCACCCCAGAGGAGGAACAAGAAGAGCCGGAACAAGAAGAGGUUACUGCUGCGGAUGACCUAUCAUUGCUUGACCGAUUACGUCAAGGUGGCCUUCCACAUGUUGAUGCCACUGAACCCUAUGAGCCCGUCAUUGAUUAUAGUGAUGAUGAUGAUUAUGCAUUUAUUGAUGAUACUGAUCGAGAUUAUUAGUAGUGUCACGUAUUAAAUUUUUUAUGUUGUACUUGAUGAUGAUACACUUAAGUGAUACACAUAUUAUUAUUCAUGUCGGUCUUUUUUUUAUGUUGUACUAAUUUCAUUUACUGUUUGUCAUGGCAGGUGUUGAAAGAUGGUGGCCGCUGGUCGGGAGCGCGCCAAGGCCCCUUCUUCGUCGGCGCGUGGUCUGAGGUCUUCCAUUCCAGACGCACCUCUCCGCCGAGCGUUGCUGGACAGUAUGGCGACACCGCCGGGCCCUUCUUCGUUGACCGCGGUGCCCAGUAGGGGACGAGGUAGGAAGAGAGGAGGUGGGGCACGUGGUCGCGGGAGAGGAGGUAGGGUGACUGCUACGGCGCCUUCCUCGCCGCCACCCCCAGCUGUUUCACCCGAGCACGUGACUGCUAGGGUGGACUCGUCCGAGGAGGAGGCUACACGGACUCCGGUCCACAAGCCUCCGGUCCACGGGUCUUGGGCCCACGAGCCUCGGGUCGACUGGCCUUCGGCCCACGAGAGUUCGGCCCACGAGACCCCGGAGGAGCACACGUCCGGAUGGGGUACCUGGCCGGAUCAGCCCGUGGAGCCGAGUGGCCAUGCUGAUGAUGGCGGGGAGCCGACUGAUAUUGAGGAGGAGGGGGGCACCGUCUACCAUCGUGGUGCUACACGGCUCCCGUCCGUGCCGGCGACCCGCGAGCAGAGGUGGUUGAUUUUCCCUGAUGGGGAGAGGUACGUAAGUGCAUUUAAUAUUUUUGUACCUUCUGCAUUCACGUUUCUUCAAAUAACUAAUGCGUUGGCCUUGUCAUGCUGCAGGGGUUGGGACCACCAUCAUAGUGUCCACCGGCCCAACUCCGUCCUUGGAGUUCUUUGCCGGCAAAACUUCCCGGGGUUUGUCACGUUGCCUGGUGAGGGUCGGCUUCCAGAGCUUGGAUUGAGCUGGGAGCACUAUUUGGCUGCCCCGGCCCUGCCGGAUGAGAUUAUCGACGGUGUCUUCUGCGACACGAGGGCAGACAUGGUGAUCAGAAAGUUCUGGGUAAUUUCUCCUUUACACAUUUAAAAAUCUUCAACUAGCUAGUUAUUAAUUGUACUAAUCAAUAUUGUCUCAUUUGAUUGCAGACAUUCUACAGGUGUGAGGAGGGAUACGAGGAGGACGCGGCACAUGUUAUCGAGAACGUCUGCAAGCGCCUACUACAGAACUUACGGCACGAGGCUCGGGUGCAGGCUGUUCGAGACUACUACACCUUGCGUGGUAUCAAGAAGACCAAGCCGGCGUGCCGCGAUAAGUUCCUGAGUAAGGAGCAGUACAUGAAGGUAAUUCUUAAGGCCUUCUACUUAAGUUCCUUCAUUUAGUAAUUCUUAGCCGUAGCGCUCAAGUUUCUAUUUGCUAACUUAGGCGCCUCCGAGAUGGUGUGCGGAUCGGAUGGAUUGUUGGGAGGUGUUGGUCAAUGAGUGGUUCUCAAAAGAAUGGCUAGCCCUCCACAACGAGGCCAAGGACAAACGUGCCCAAAUGGAAGGUGUGCCACACCAUCAAGGCAGCUCCAACUUAUAUCAGUUUGGGCGGAACUAGGUAUGUGGUUUGCUUCAUGAUUCAUGCAAUUCAUUCAUCAUGCUAGCUUGAGCCCUUUAAUUACUAAUUUACAUUGUUUCUCUCUUUCAGGCACGCCACAAUAAGGUGGAUAAGGUGCCAGAGGUGUACAACCUGUAUGCCAUGGCCCACACUGCCUCUUUCAAGAAAGUCAAGGCUUUCUCUCAGUCUGACCUCGAUGAUGCAAACAACUUCACCAACAUCUCCUCCCACAACAAGCUCGUGAGAUAUAGAGAUGAGGGGAAGGCGAGGAAAGGGGAGGACUUUAACCCGAGCCAGGGUCCCAUUGAUCCAGAGCUGGUGAUGAUAUCUGGUGGCGGGAGGUCCCAUGGCUCCAUAGCCAUUGGAGAUGGACUUAUCCGUUGUCCUAGCACUCUCCCGGAGAUCAAGGCGCGCCAGUCGAGCUCCGCUCCUGAGAUAAGGCCUCGUGAACGGCCAGUGCAACUCGCCAUCAAGGUUAGUGAUACGUACUCAGCUAUCUUUCUCCAUUACAUUGUGUGCACUUCCAUCAAUGAUUACAAAUGGUCAUGUGAGUGGUGUUGCAGGCUGCUAUACAGAGUGAGAGAGAUAGAACGGAGAAACUUCUGGCGGAGGCGGCGGAGAGGCAGCGGGAGUUGGAGGAGAGGACGACAAAGAUGUUGGAGGAGGAGAGGGCACGGAAUGACAUGCAGGCAAGGGCCAUGUACGAGCUCCUUGUGGUAAGUUUCUUCUGCAGAUUAGCCAAAACAUUCAUGUAGUGUUUGUCUCAUUACUAACUAGUAUGACUGAGUCGUCAAAACCAAAUGUGCAGUCUGUGUGCGAGAAGACCGGUCAGACCGCUCCGCCGAUGCCAGUGAUUGCUCCUGGGACCACGGUGAGUUUAAUUUGAAUGGACAUUACUUGCUAGUCUUAACAUUUGAGUGUCAUCAUGCUAACAAGACAUUGGAAAUGAUCUUUGGUGCAGCGUAACUCCAGACAAGCAUCGCACGAUCCUUCUCCAGCUACCGACACGAGCCAGCCCACUCCUACACCUCCUGGAUCAUGGUAAGUUUAUCUAGUGUUUUGCUUAACACAUGCAUAAAGACCUAGAAUUAGCUUUAUUUCCUCCAAUGCUUACCAUAAUGACCUAGACUUAGCUUCUUCUCCUCCAAAAUGACUUAAUAAGCUUACUGACCUCCUAAACCAUCCAUUUUACCUAAGUUAGCUCUAAAACGAUCUGUACUUAGCUUACUUAUGUCAAAAAUUGCAUAAUUAGCUUAGUUAGCUCAUAAACGAUCCAUUUUACCUAAGUUAGCUCUAAAAUGACCCAUUUUACCUUGGUUAGCUUAUAAAUGAUCCAGUUCAUCCAAGUUAGCUCAAAAAUGACCCAUUUUACCUAGAUUAGCUCCUAAAUGAUCCAUUUUACCUACGUUAGCUUUAAAAUGACCCAUUUCACCUAGGUUAACUCCAAAAUGACCCAUCUUACCUAGGUUGUCUCAUAAACGAUCCAUUUCAACUAAUUUAGCUCAUAAACGAUCCAUUUCACCAAGUUAGCUCAAAAACGAUCCAUUUCACCUAAAUUAGCUCUUAAAUGAUCCAUUUCACCUAAGUUAGCUCAAAAAGAUCCAUUUCAACUAAAUUAGCUCACCAAUGAUCCAUUUCACCUAAGUUAGCUCAAAAAGAUCCAUUUCAACUAAAUUAGCUCAUCAAUGAUCCAUUUCACCUAAGUUAGCUCAAAAAACAAUCCAUUUAAACUAAGUUAGCUCAUAAAUGAUCCAUUUCACCUAAGUUAGCUAAAAAACGAUCCAUUUCACCUUAGUUACCUCAAAAAGAUCCAUUUGACCUUAGUUAGCUCAUAAAUGACCCAUUUCAACUAAGUUAGCUCAUAAAUGAUCCAUUUCACCUUAGCUAGCUCAUAAACGACCCAUUCAACUUAGUUAGCUCAUAUAUGAUCCAUUUCACGUAAGUUAGCUCAUAAAUGACAUACUCUUCUUGUUCUAGUCUUCUUCUUGUUCUACUCUUCUUGUUCUAGUCUUCUUGUUCUAGUCUUCUUAUUCUAGUCACCUAUUUCUAACUUUCUUAUUUUGCCAUUUUGCAGAUUUCAUUCACUUCUUGUUCUACUCUUCUUGCUAUGGAGUGCUUGUUUAUGUAUGGAUGGAACUUGUUUAUGUAUGAAUUGAUGGAUGGAACUUGCUUAUGUAAUAUGUAUGGAUGGAACUUGCUUAUGUAUGAAUGGAUUGAACUUGCUUAUGUAUGAAUGUAUGGAACUUAUGUGCUGGAUAUAUGUGAUAUGAAUGCCUGUGAAAUAUAUCUAUAUUAUGUCAUAUAUAUUUGCUGUGAAAAUUGUUGGAUUUAAUAAAAAAACAGAAAAAAGAGCCAAUAUGCAGGCUCUUUGCCGUCUGCCACCGACGGCAACGGGCUCUUUGUCGUCUGCCGCGGACGGCAAAGAAGCCACGAGGCAUCCAGCUGUGCUUCCUGGGAGCUGACCCAUUUGGUCAGUUUGCCUACAGUGGCAGACGGCAAAGAGUAAAAUUUUUUGCCGUCAGCGGCGGACGGCAAAGGCCUGCCAUGUAGUGACGUGUAGAUGACAUCAUAAGGCGGACGGCAAAGACACUAGAAAGUUUGCCGUCUGCCGCGGACGGCAAAGGCCUGCCGUUAGCCACUUAACGGACUGACAGCGCAAUUAUUGCCGUCCGCUCUCUUUGCCGUCCGCGGCAGACGGCAAAGGGCCUUUGCCGUCAGCCGCCCGGAAGCAGACGGCAAAGUAGCUGUUUACCGUAGCCUACUUUGCCGGAGCCUUUUGCCGUCCGCGGCUGACGGCAAAGGCCUUUGCCGUCCGCCGUUCAUGCCUUUGCCGUCCACCGUGGCAGACGGCAAAAUAGCUGAUUCAUGUAGUGUUAUAGAUGGUCACGUUACCAUUCGCGUCUGUCUUCUUCUUAAAGAUCCAUUUAUUUUCUAUGGCUCGCCGAUCAUUGGGCAAGUCAGUCAAAGUCCAUACUUCGUUUUCAUACAUGGAUCCUAUCUCGGAUUUCAUGGCUUCUAGCCAUUUCUCGGAAUCCGGGCCCGCCAUCGCUUCUUCAUAGUUCGAAGGUUCACCGUUGUCUAACAACAUGAUUUCCAGGACAGGGUUGUUGUACCACUCUGGUGCGGAACGUGUCCUUGUGGACCUACGAAGUUCAGCAGUAACUUGAUCCGAAGCUUCAUGAUCAUCAUCAUUAACUUCCUCCCCGGUCGGUGUAGGCACCACAGGAACAUCUUCCCGCGCUGCACUACUUUCCGGUUCGGAAGGGGUGACUAUCACCUCAUCAAGUUCCACUUUCUUCCAACUCAAUUCUUUCGAGAGAAACUCUUUCUCCAGAAAGGACCCGUUCUUGGCAACAAAGAUCUUGCCUUCGGAUCUGAGGUAGAAGGUAUACCCAAUAGUUUCCUUGGGGUAUCCUAUGAAGACGCAUUUUUCCGACUUGGGUUCGAGCUUUUCAGGUUGAAGUUUCUUGACAUAAGCAUCGCAUCCCCAAACUUUUAGAAACGACAGCUUAGGUUUCUUCCCAAACCAUAAUUCAUACGGUGUCGUCUCAACGGAUUUCGAUGGAGCCCUAUUUAAAGUGAAUGCGGCAGUCUCUAAAGCAUAGCCCCAAAAUGAGAGCGGUAGAUCGGUAAGAGACAUCAUAGAUCGCACCAUAUCCAAUAGAGUGCGAUUACGACGUUCGGACACACCGUUUCGCUGAGGUGUUCCAGGCGGCGUGAGUUGUGAAACGAUUCCACAUUUCCUUAAGUGCGUACCAAAUUCGUGACUUAAAUAUUCUCCACCACGAUCUGAUCGUAAGAACUUUAUUUUUCUGUCACGUUGAUUCUCAACCUCACUCUGAAAUUCCUUGAACUUUUCAAAGGUUUCAGACUUGUGUUUCAUUAGGUAGACAUACCCAUAUCUACUUAAGUCAUCAGUGAGAGUGAGAACAUAGCGAUAUCCUCUGCGAGCCUCAACACUCAUUGGACCGCACACAUCGGUAUGUAUGAUUUCCAAUAAAUUGGUUGCUCGCUCCAUUGUUCCGGAGAACGGAACCUUGGUCAUCUUACCCAUGAGGCAUGGUUCACACGUGUCAAAUGAUUCGUAAUCAAGAGACUCCAAAAGUCCAUCUGCAUGGAGCUUCUUCAUGCGUUUGACACCAAUGUGACCAAGGCGGUAGUGCCACAAGUAUGUGGGACUAUCGUUAUCAACUUUACAUCUUUUGGUAUUCACACUAUGAAUAUGUGUAACAUCACGUUCGAGAUUCAUCAAGAAUAAACCAUUGACCAGCGGGGCAUGACCAUAAAGCAUAUCUCUCAUAUAAAUAGAACAACCAUUAUUCUCGGAUUUAAAUGAGUAGCCAUCUCGAAUUAAACGAGAUCCAGAUACAAUGUUCAUGCUCAAAGCUGGCACUAAAUAACAAUUAUUGAGGUUUAAAACUAACCCCGUAGGUAAAUGCAGAGGUAGCGUGCCGACGGCGAUCACAUCGACCUUGGAACCAUUCCCGACGCGCAUCGUCACCUCGUCCUUUGCCAGUCUCCGCUUAUUCCGUAGUUCCUGUUUUGAGUUACAAAUAUGAGCAACCGCGCAAGUACUGGUAAGGUACACAUCAAUUACAUGUAUAUCACAUAUACCUUUGGUGUUGCCGGCCUUCUUGUCCGCUAAGUAUUUGGGGCAGUUCCGCUUCCAGUGACCACUUCCCUUGCAAUAAAAGCACUCAGUCUCAGGCUUGGGUCCAUUCAUCGACUUCUUCCCGGCAACUGGCUUACCGGGCGCGGCAACUCCCUUGCCGUCCUUCUUGAAGUUCUUCUUACCCUUGCCUUUCUUGAACUUAGUGGUUUUAUUCACCAUCAACACUUGAUAUUCCUUUUUGAUCUCCACCUCCGCUGAUUUCAGCAUUGAAUAUACCUCAGGAAUGGUCUUUUCCAUCCCCUGCAUAUUGAAGUUCAUCACAAAGCUCUUGUAGCUUGGUGGAAGCGACUGGAGGAUUCUGUCAAUGACCGCGUCAUCCGGGAGAUUAACUCCCAGCUGAGACAAGCGGUUGUGCAACCCAGACAUUCUGAGUAUGUGCUCACUUACAGAACUAUUCUCCUCCAUUUUACAGGUGAAGAACUUGUCGGAGACUUCAUAUCUCUCGACCUGGGCAUGAGCUUGGAAAACCAUUUUCAGCUCUUCGAACAUCUCAUAUGAUCCAUGCUUCUCAAAACGCUUUUGGAGCCCCGGUUCUAAGCUGUAAAGCAUGCCGCACUGAACGAGGGAGUAAUCAUCAGCACGUGAUUGCCAAGCGUUCAUAACGUCUUGGUUCUCUGGGAUUGGUGCUUCCCCUAGCGGUGCUUCUAGGACAUAAUCUUUCUUGGCAGCUAUGAGGAUGAUCCUCAGGUUCCGGACCCAGUCCGUAUAGUUGCUGCCAUCAUCUUUCAGCUUGGUUUUCUCUAGGAACGCGUUGAAGUUGAGGACAACGUGGGCCAUUUGAUCUACAAGACAUAUUGUAAAGAUUUUAGACUAAGUUCAUGAUAAUUAAGUUCAUCUAAUCAAAUUACUCAAUGAACUCCCACUCAGAUAGACAUCCCUCUAGUCAUCUAAGUGAAACAUGAUCCGAGUUAACUAGGCCGUGUCCGAUCAUCACGUGAGACGGACUAGUCAAGAUCGGUGAACAUCUCCAUGUUGAUCGUAUCUUCUAUACGACUCAUGCUCGACCUUUCAGUCCUCCGUGUUCCGAGGCCAUGUCUGUACAUGCUAGGCUCGUCAAGUCAACCUAAGUGUAUUGCGUGUGUUCCGAGGCCAUGUCUGUACAUGCUAGGCUCGUCAACACCCGUUGUAUGCGAACGUUAGAAUCUAUCACACCCGAUCAUCACGUGGUGCUUCGAAACAACGAACCUUCGCAACGGUGCACAGUUAGGGGGAACACUUUCUUAAAAUUAUUAUAAGGGAUCAUCUUACUUACUACCGUCGUUCUAAGCAAAUAAGAUGCAAAACAUGAUAAACAUCACAUGCAAUCAAAUAGUGACAUGAUAUGGCCAAUAUCAUCUUGCUCCUUUGAUCUCCAUUUUCGGGGCACCAUGAUCAUCUUCGUCACCGGCAUGACACCAUGAUCUCCAUCAUUGUGUCUUCAUGAAGUUGUCACGCCAACGAUUACUUCUACUUCUAUGGCUAACGCGUUUAGCAAUAAAGUAAAGUAAUUUACAUGGCGUUAUUCAAUGACACGCGGGUCAUAGAAAAAAUAAAGACAACUCCUAUGGCUCCUGCCGGUUGUCAUACUCAUCGACAUGCAAUUCGUGAUUCCUAUUACAAGAAUAUGAUCAAUCUCAUACAUCACAUAUAUCAUUCAUCACAUCUUCUGGCCAUAUCACAUCACAUAGCACAUGCUGCAAAAACAAGUUAGACGUCCUCUAAUUGUUGUUGCAAGUUUUUAGGUGGCUUGUAUAGGUUUCUAGCAAGAACGUUUCUUACCUACGUAAAACCACAACGUGAUAUGCCAAUUUCUUAUUUACCCUUCAUAAGGACCCUUUUCAUCGAAUCUGUUCCGACUAAAGUGGGAGAGACAGACACCCGCUAGCCACCUUAUGCAACUAGUGCAUGUCAGUCGGUGGAACCUGUCUCACGUAAGCGUACGUGUAAGGUCGGACCGGGCCGCUUCAUCCCACAAUACCGCCGAAACAAGAUAAGACUAGUAGUGGCAAGAAAAAUUGACAACAUCUACACCCACAACUGCUUUGUGUUCUACUCGUGCAUAGUAACUACGCAUAAACCUGGCUCAUGAUGCCACUGUUGGGAUCGUAGCAGAAUUUUAAAAAUUUCCUACGCAUCACCAAGAUCCAUCUAUGGAGUAUACUAGCAACGAGGGGAAAGGAGUGCUUCUACAUACCCUUGUAGAUCGCGAGCGGAAGCGUUCCAAUGAACGGGGUUGAUGGAGUCGUACUCGCCGUGAUCCAAAUCACCGAUGACCGAGUGCCGAACGGACGGCACCUCCGCGUUCAACACACCUACGGAGCAGCAACGUCUCCUACUUCUUGAUCCAACAAGGGGGGAGGAGAGGUUGAUGGAGAUCCAGCAGCACGACGGCGUGGUGGUGGAAGUAGCGGGGAUCUCGGCAGGGCUUCGCCAAGCUUCUGCGAGAGGGAGAGGUGUUGCAGGGGGAGAGGGAGGCGCCAGGGGCUGUGGUUCUGCUGCCCUCCCUCCCCCCACUAUAUAUAGGCCCCCUGGGGGGGCGCCGGCCCUGGGAGAUCAGAUCUCCAAGGGGGGGCGGCGGCCAAGGGGGAAGGGGGGUGGCUUCCCCCCCAAGCCAAGUGGGGCGCCCCCCACCCCCAGGGUUUCCAACCCUAGGCGCAGGGGGAGGACCAUGGGGGGGGCGCCCCAGCCCACUAAGGGCUGGUUCCCUUCCCACUUCAGCCCAUGGGGCCCUCCAGGAUAGGUGGCCCCACCCGGUGGACCCCCGAGACCCUUCCGGUGGUCCCGGUACAAUACCGAUAACCCCCGAAACCUUCCCGUUGGCCGAAACUGGACUUCCUAUAUAUAAUUCUUCACCUCCGGACCAUUCCGGAACUCCUCGUGACGUCCGGGAUCUCAUCCGGGACUCCGAACAACUUUCGGGUUUCCGCAUACUAAUAUCUCUACAACCCUAGCGUCACCGAACCUUAAGUGCGUAGACCCUACGGGUUCGGGAGACAUGCAGACAUGACCGAGACGCCUCUCCGGUCAAUAACCAACAGCAGGAUAUGGAUACCCAUGUUGGCUCCCACAUGUUCCACGAUGAUCUCAUCAGAUGAACCAUGAUAUCGAGGAUUCAAUCAAUCCCGUAUACAAUUCCCUUUGUCAAUCGGUACUUUACUUGCCCGAGAUUCGAUCGUCGGUAUCCCAAUACCUUGUUCAAUAUCGUUACCGGCAAGUCACUUUACUCGUACCAUAAUGCAUGAUCCCGUGGCUAACUCCUUAGUCACAUUGAGCUCAUUAUGAUGAUGCAUUACCGAGUGGGCCCAGAGAUACCUCUCCGUCAUACGGAGUGACAAAUCCCAGUCUCGAUCCGUGUCAACCCAACAGACACUUUCAGAGAUACCCGUAGUGUACCUUUAUAGUCACCCAGUUACGUUGUGACGUUUGGUACACCCAAAGCACUCCUACGGUAUCCGGGAGUUACACGAUCUCAUGGUCUAAGGAAAAGAUACUUGACAUUGGAAAAGCUCUAGCAAACGAACUACACGAUCUUUUAUGCUAUGCUUAGGAUUGGGUCUUGUCCAUCACAUCAUUCUCCUAAUGAUGUGAUCCCGUUAUCAAUGACAUCCAAUGUCCAUAGUCAGGAAACCACGACUAUCUGUUGAUCAACGAGCUAGUCAACUAGAGGCUUACUAGGGACACGUUGUGGUCUAUGUAUUCACACAUGUAUUACGAUUUCCGGAUAACACAAUUAUAGCAUGAACAAUAGACAAUUAUCAUGAACAAAGAAAUAUAAUAAUAACCAUUUAUUAUUGCCUCUAGGGCAUAUUUCCAACAUGACGAACCCCGGGGUGCGUUUACGUGUCGAUCAUCAACACUCGCAGUUUUGACCGAUUCUGGCCUGUUUCAUGGACUAUUACUGAUUGUUUUGGUGUCCCGGACUGAUUUCCACGAUUAACGAACCCUGGGAUGCGUUUAUGUGUCGGUCAUCAACACCCGGAGUUUUGGCCGGUUCUGACCCGUUUCGUGGACUAUUACUCAUUGUUUUAGGGUCCCGGAGUGAUUUCCACGAUUGACGAACCCCAGGGUGCGUUUACGUGUCGGUCAUCAACACUCGUAGUUUUGGCCGAUUCUGGUCUGUUNNNNNNNNNNNNNNNNNNNNNNNNNNNNNNNNNNNNNNNNNNNNNNNNNNNNNNNNNNNNNNNNNNNNNNNNNNNNNNNNNNNNNNNNNNNNNNNNNNNNNNNNNNNNNNNNNNNNNNNNNNNNNNNNNNNNNNNNNNNNNNNNNNNNNNNNNNNNNNNNNNNNNNNNNNNNNNNNNNNNNNNNNNNNNNNNNNNNNNNNNNNNNNNNNNNNNNNNNNNNNNNNNNNNNNNNNNNNNNNNNNNNNNNNNNNNNNNNNNNNNNNNNNNNNNNNNNNNNNNNNNNNNNNNNNNNNNNNNNNNNNNNNNNNNNNNNNNNNNNNNNNNNNNNNNNNNNNNNNNNNNNNNNNNNNNNNNNNNNNNNNNNNNNNNNNNNNNNNNNNNNNNNNNNNNNNNNNNNNNNNNNNNNNNNNNNNNNNNNNNNNNNNNNNNNNNNNNNNNNNNNNNNNNNNNNNNNNNNNNNNNNNNNNNNNNNNNNNNNNNNNNNNNNNNNNNNNNNNNNNNNNNNNNNNNNNNNNNNNNNNNNNNNNNNNNNNNNNNNNNNNNNNNNNNNNNNNNNNNNNNNNNNNNNNNNNNNNNNNNNNNNNNNNNNNNNNNNNNNNNNNNNNNNNNNNNNNNNNNNNNNNNNNNNNNNNNNNNNNNNNNNNNNNNNNNNNNNNNNNNNNNNNNNNNNNNNNNNNNNNNNNNNNNNNNNNNNNNNNNNNNNNNNNNNNNNNNNNNNNNNNNNNNNNNNNNNNNNNNNNNNNNNNNNNNNNNNNNNNNNNNNNNNNNNNNNNNNNNNNNNNNNNNNNNNNNNNNNNNNNNNNNNNNNNNNNNNNNNNNNNNNNNNNNNNNNNNNNNNNNNNCAAGAUUGACUAACCCCGGGGUGCAUUUACGUGUCGAUCAUAAACACUCGCAGUUCUAGCCAGUUUCAUGGACUAUUACUCACUGUUUUGGGGUCCCGGAGUGAUUUCCACGAUUGACGAAUCCCGGGGUGAGUUUACGUGUCGGUCAUCAACACCAAAACAAUCAGUAAUAGUCCAUGAAAUAGGCCAGAAUCGGCCAAAACUGCCGGUGUUGAUGACGAACUUGCAAUUGGGAUGAAAAACAAAGUAUGAGGCUAGUUGCAAGUCGAGAGUGGACUUGAAACUAGGACAACUACACAAAACUACGAUACUAGUUGUGAGUCAAGGGUGGACAACCACAUGCCCAGUUGCGAGCUAAGGGUGGACUUGCAACUGAGAUGACACAAACUAUAAUCCUAGACAAAACCGUUUGUGAGUCGAGGCGGACUUGCAACUGGGAUAAUAAUAAACUACGAACCCAGUUAUGAGUCGAAAGUGUACUUGCAACUAGGAUGAAAAACAAAACACAAGCCUAGUUGCGAGUCGAGGGUGGACUUGCAACUCUGACAACUAUGAAAUUAUGAGCCCAAUUGCGAGUCAAGGGUCGACAUGCAACUACGAUGAAAAAAAUUACGAGCCUAGUUGCGAGUCAAGAGUAGACUUGCAACUUAGGUGAACACAAAACACAUGUCAAGUUGCGAGUCAAGGGUGGAGUUACAACUGGGAUGAAACAGCCCUAGUUGCGAGUCAAGGGCGGACUUGCAACUCGAACAACAACACAAAACUACGGUACCAUUUGCAAGUCGAGGGUGGAACUGCAACUGGGACAAGAACAAAAUACAAGCCCAGUUGCGAAUCGAGCGUGGCUUGCAACUAGGAUGAAAAAUAAAACACAUGCCCAGUUAUGAGUCGAGUCUGGACUUGCAACUAGGACAAUUACGAGCCCAUUUACGAGUCGAGGAUGGACAUGCAACUGGGACAACUAGAAAACUACGAACCCAGUUACGAGUCAAGGGUCGACUUGCAACUGGGAUGAAAUAAACUACGGGCCCAACUGCGAGUCAAGGGUGGAUCUGCAACUGUGAUGAAAAACAAAAACCUAGGCUCCAGUUGCGAGUCGAGUGGUGGGCUUGCAACUCGGAUAACUACAUCGCGAUCUUGAAACAACACAUGGAAACUGGCUAUCAGCACACCGCGAUAAUGGGCUGAUAAAAGCAAAGGCAAACAAACCAAUAAAAGGAUGCGUGACAACCAAACAACAACCAACGAGUCGGGGUUUCGAGGCUUAGACAUAAAUUACAUAAACUAAAUCAAACGGUGGCAAACUUAGACGUGACAUCGUUAAAAAUCAUCUAGGUGUGAUUCAAUAAUACCGUACAAAAAAUGCACGAAGCUGGAAAGGUGUUCACAAAAAAUAUAAUAUUUUUCCCAAAUUUACAAAAAUAUCUACAAAUUCCAUAUUCACAAUUUUGAAAAAAGGAAAAAAAGACAAAAUCAAAAAGAAAGAAACGAAAUGGAAAACAAACAGAAUAGAAGAAAGAAAAGAAAGAAAAACUUGACAAAGUUGCGAGGCGGGUCGACAUUUGUGGUUGCGUGUCUAGUGAUGAACAUGCAACUGAACUUCCACAAACACUUUUAUCCAUUCCACACAAAGUUAUGAUCAUAUUGAAGACGUGCAAUUGCAGUUGGAUGGCUUACAAUUGUGUGUCUAGUAGAAGACAUGAAUCUACCCUCCAAACAAAUUAUUAUUGUUUCCUAAUUUGCAGACGCGUUGAAAAUGUGCAUUUGUGGAGCAAGGACAACACUUACAAUUGCGUGUUUGAUGAUGGAUAUGCAACUCACAAUGACAAAGACAAUUCAUAUCUUUUUUAAAAAAUGCAUGAAUUUAAACACGAAAAGUAGAAAAGAAAAAAGAAAAAGAAAGAAAAUUUAAAUAAGAAAUAAGAAAAACAAGAAAAAAAGGAGAUAUGAAAAUAGACUAAGUAACUACUAGCAAACAAAAAAAGCAAAGCAAACUCGGGAGAAAAAUGCUUCUAAAAUACAAGAACACAAAUUUCAGAUUUCAGGACACAUACAGCCUACGUAGACAAAAGAUAGAGGCACACAGGAACCAGAACAUGUCCUACACGGGACACAGCGACAAUGCCAACAAUUUGCACAAAACAGGUCCAGUGCCCACAAAACAUGGUAGGAGUAUGUUGACUAUUCACCUGACAUGGUCAGGCACACUUUCAUAGUACACCUGACAUGAUGUGUGAGUGGUGCGUGCACGGGAGACAAUCCGCUCUCCAACGGCCUGUCCCGAAGAACGAAAAUGAAAAAGGUCUUGUGCGAGACAACGCCCUGAGCGCGACAGCCAGAAAACGAGCGGGGCAAACAAAAAAACUGCGUUUGCACGAAUCUUACAUAGAGUCGAGAUCCGACGGCUCAGAGAUUAGAUGUGAGAUAGCUAUUUCACAUCUAGAUGUGAAAUAGCAAAUCUGUUUAGACAAAUAUAAGACAAGAAUUUUAAGACAGGGGGAGUACGAGUUAGCACACACCCCUAAUAAAAGUCGGUUUGGAUGGCUACACAACCGUGUCGGAGUCAAAAGUCCGAUCCGAGCUAGACUAGCGAACCUCUUUGGGUCUAUAUAUUAGUCGAAGUCCAGCAUACCUACGUACGUGAAACCCUCGAUCCGCCCGGCCGUCCACCAUCGCCGGCGCUCCAAACGCGCGACCAGCACAUACACGGAUAUACGUACGUGCUGCCCCGGCCAUCGCCGGCCAAGUUCAGGCUUCCAGAUGGCGCUGAACGAGAGCCUCGCCAGGUUCCGGCUGCUGCAGGAGAGGAACCAGGCGGCUCUGUCCGCCAUCGCCGCAACCAGAACCUCAUCAUCGUCAUGCACCAAGCCGUCCCAGCAGCAACCCGCUCCAACUCCACGGCCGGCAGCCAAGCCAUCCCCGCCCGCGCCUGCCGCCGCUGUCGUCAGAUUCUCCGAUGACACGGCGCGGCUACGGAAGAUCAACGAGGUGAGGAGGUCCACCGUCGGGCACCAGAUGAAAAACGUGAUCGACCUGCUCGACAAGACGAGGGAAGCUCUUACGACGCAUCAGAUCAACCAAUGGACCUACGUCGACAUCGACGGCAACAGGACCCUCGCCGAGAGCCUGAGGAACAACCCCAAGGUGCGCUUCGACGGGCGGCGCUACUCCUACAAGCCCACGCACGACGUCAAGGCCAAAGGCGAGCUGCUGACACUGAUCAAGAGCUUCCCGGACGGCCUCCCGGCGUCCGAGGUGGAUGACGCGUAUCCAGCCGUCUUGGAAGAUCUGCAGGCCUUGAAAUCCUCGGGUGACGUCUAUCUGCUGCCGGGCGAGGGAGGCAUCAUAGCGUACCCGAACGACGACCCGAGGUCGAAGAUCGGGGUGGACACCGAGCUCAAGAAGCUGUUCCACGACAUCAAGCUCCCGCGGGAGAUGAUCGACAUCGAGAAGGAGCUCAGGAAGAACGGCGAGAGGCCGGCCACCGAUACUAUGAAGCGGCGCGCGGCGGAGCAGCUCAAUGGCCGGCAGCCCAAGCCGAAGAAGGCCAAGAAGAAGUCGCGCGGGCUCACCAGCAGGACCAAGCUCACCAACGUUCAUCUCCCGUGGCUCAUGGACCUGCCUGUGGACUCGAAGGAUAUCAUCUGAUGACUGAUGGGUGUGUAAAUCAUGUAUGGCACGUGGAUUGGAACUUCUGACUCUCUGUUGGAUUCUAUAUAUACUCUGCCGUCCCAAGAUGCACCGCCUAAGAUUUAGGACUGAUAUUCUCUACUAAAGUUAUGGUGUGUUACAACCAAAAGAUGUUAAGUGACAAAAUGAGCCAAACUCAAUUUGCCGGUGCUCUCACUGAUUACAUCGAAGGUUUCAACAGUCAAGACUGGCUAAGCCAGUCUUUAAAUUUGUGGAAUACAUGGUCGAAAAAAUGAACGCGUUACAAGAAAGAGCUUAGAUGCCGAGUACACGGCGAAGGUCGAUUGCAUCAGCAAGGCUUUGCCGGGUGGCACACGUGGCAAAACCUACUCAACAUACAUCCUAUCAACAAACUGGAGUUUGUCGUGUGUCGUUUGUCGGCACUCGGCAAAGUCUCUGCUGAGUUAAAAAAAAGACACUCGACAAACAAAAGGGGUAGGCAGAACAGGGCGAACAAUGCUGGUGCCACAUGCAGCUGGUGUUAUGCCAAGUGCAUGUUCUUUGACACUCGACAAACAUUUUGAACAUUAACAAAAAAAAAA